GCCAUCCUUCCACUCUUACAGUAGUAUUCUGGAGUGUAAACACAUGAUGUUGAUCGGAUGCAAUUUUUCUGGCAGUACUCCGAACAAGAUCAUGCAUUCUAACAACUGCAUUAUGGCCAGUUUCUAGUAACAAAUUUGAGGAUUUGAGGUUGCCAACCAAUGUAUCUAUUCUAUUUUUCGCCUCUUCCAAUGUAUUAGUUCCUUGAAAUAAUCGCAGACCCACGCCAUAUUUCAACAAGUCCCAUAUAUGAAUAUAAUUUUGAGAAAUUAAACCACAAAGCAAGAAAAAUGACUUCACUUCAACUCCCUUCAAGUGUUCGUAGCUCAACUUCAGACUUGAGUAUACAUUUGUUGUCAGUCCUGUUACGUUAGUCGAGGUUUGCGAUUUCAGUUGUAGCCGGGCAUCCUCCCAAAUGGACACACUCUUCUCGCCUUUCAAUGCCGUUGCCACAGUUACUAUUGCAAGUGGCAAACCCGCGCAUUCUUUUGCUACAUCAACAGCUAUAGGUUGCAACUCUGGAUUUUCAAUGGAACCAGCUGUGUUCUUAAAUAAAAUCCAUGUUUCAUCUUCUUGCAAAGGUUGAACUCGAAAAUCCUUUUGAGUAUCCAUCUCAUUGGACAAGAUGUGUUCAUUUCUAGAAGUUAGCACUAAUUUGCAUCCUUUGUGGUGAUCUGGAGAAGGAAUUCCUAUUUUCUCCAAGUCAAGUUUCGCCCAAAUAUCAUCCAAGAUGAUGAGGAUGGUCUUCUCCUCGUUCAUCCUCUGAUAUAGUCGAGCUGCUCUUCCCUGUUCACUCUCCUCCUCAAAUUUCAUACCUAGAAGGUCUGCAAGUUCCCCUUGAAUUUUUUUUAAGUCUGGAGUCUCUAACACAGCUGCCGUGACCACCUUGUCGAAUAACUUCUCUUGAGCAGCUUGUUCAGCCACUUGUUUCACCAGCGUGGUCUUCCCAACACCGCCCAACCCCCAUACCCCGAUCUUGUUGAUCUUGGCAUCCCUUAAGGCCUCCAUGACUUCAUUCAAAGUCAACAUUCUUGAUUCUAAAGCUUCGGAAGGUCUGCACCUUAUCCCUUGCAGAGGGGCACGAUAUGCUACCUUCUCAAAUUGGCCAUCUCCAAGGAUUUGAACAGAAACCCCUGCCUUCUUACUUGCUUCCCUGCUUAGCUGGUACCGGGACUUCAAAUUAGGACACAACCCAUUGAAACAACUCUUCCGCGCCUCCUCAUCUUCAAGGAAUUUGCAAUCCUUUUGUAUGAACCCAUCAGCACGUGUCAUCCACUUGCAAACAUCAUCCUCGAUUUUAUGUCCAUUCCUAAUAGCUUCAUCCACAGAGUGCUGCAGCCUAGCCCUGGCACCCCUCAGCUUCUCAACCUUUUGAGAGAGAUCCUCAAUGUUGGUACUGUAGUUAAACAGAUAACCCAGCUGACGUACAACUGGACCAACCAGGUACUCUGAAACUUUUUCUGCAACCGAAACAACAAUUUCUACCAUUUUCUACUUGCUACUCCUUUCUUCUCUUUUGGAACACGAUCAGAUCGAUGACAGAAAACCAAAAAAAACAGCAGCAGUAAACUAACAACAGGCUGCUAGCUACGGGAAUCGGUGUCACAAAAACAGAAAUCAAGGAAAUUGAAAGGUUUAGCAAGCAAAGGAGCAGAGCGACAUAGACAUAUGGGCAAAAUGAGAGUGAAAAUGAAUAGUGGUGAUCAGAAUGAGUAUGAGGGUGAAGAGAGUUGCAAACGAUGUGACAAAGUUCUAUGGAGGGGAAUCGACAGAAAAAGCAUAUGGAUGUUAUUGGAUUCAACUUGAAGAACAGAAGCAGAGCUGUUAAGGCUGAUGAUGUGAGAAAGGAAACAAGGAAAUGAAAGAUUUCAGCAAUGAAAUGUGAAGAAAGCUCUCACCAGCAAAAUGAAAAUGAAAAUCCCUGGCGAGAAUGAGGAUGAAAAUGUAGAGUCAGGAGACAAUGCUCAAACAAGGCCUCUCAAUUAUUCAAAAUUGAAACUGAAACCCAAGCCAGGUUAUCAAUUGUGUCUUCAAACCUGCCUUUGAUUACUGAUUCGCAUCCUUGUUAACUUAUUCGUAUUAUUUUGAUAUACAAUUGCAGUUUCUAAUAAUAAAUUGGUAUCUUUAACCAAAGUAUCAUUGGUUUAAGGGUUUAUUGGCAUCAUGAAAAAGUUGAAAAAUAAUAUAAAACCAAAAGGUAAAAAUUAUAAAAUAUAUAAAAAAAAAAAUGUUCUCAUUACAUGAAAAGUAUAAAAGAAAAUUCUAUAUAAGAAAGAUUAUAUAAAUAUUUAUACAUUUUUAAUCUUUUCAUAGUUUGUCUAAAAAGAAGUAAGCAAAAACACAGUGAGAUAAGGUCAAAAUUGUUGUCUACCAUUUUUCCUCUUCUACCAUUUUUUUUUUUAUAUUGUUGUCUUUUUCUCAUAAUUUAUUUUAAUAUUUCAAGAUCCAUAAUUAGUCAAAAUUGUAUUAUUUAGUCUAUCAUCUAAGUAUGGGAAAAAAAUCAAAUAAAAUAAAAAUUAAUUAAAAAUUAAACAUUUUCAAAUUUUUAUUAUUUAUAAAUUAAAUAAGAAAGAAAAAUAAAUCUUCAAAUAAAUAUAACAAAACCUUAAUAGAUAAAUGCUCAAUAAAUUAAUAAUCUUAUUUAAAUAGGAAAUUUUUUGAUCCAAUUGGAUUAGUUUAUUAAAUAAAUAAACUGUUAAAUAGAUAAGUUAAUGAAUUUUUAAAAAAUUCUUAAGUGACAGUGUAUAGGAAAUCAUGAAGACACCGUUUUAUACUUGUCAAAUUUUAUUAAAUUUUUUGAAGUUUAUUAAUUUUUAGGUUAUUUUUUGUUGAUGAAAAAUUUAAAGGAAAAAAUAAAGAGUAAAAGUAAAAAAAAUAAAAAAUAAAAAAUUAUUAAUAAAUUAUUUGUAUAUAUUAAUCCACAUCUAUCUAACUGAAAUUUAAUUUUUUAUAUAAAAAUUAAAUAAUUUUAAAAUAUAUGAGUUUUAAAUAAAUUUUAAUUAUAUUUAAUUUUAUAUUAUAUUUUUAUAGUAAAAUUAAAUAUGGAAAUAGUAUUUUUUUUAUUAGUAUUUUUUAAACCGUAUUAGUUUAUGAAUAUUGAGGGAGGGAGAGAGUCCUAUCCGAUAGGCAUUGUUGGAGAGAAAAUGACAUCAUCCUGACAUCAUAUAUUGUUGGAGAGAAAAAAUGCAUCACUAAAUUUUGACUUAGAAACCGGAGUUUUAGGGCUAAAUAGCCCUUUUAUGUAAAAAAAAAAAAAAAGUUUUAGCCAAAAAAUAAGUGUUAGCCCUUGACAAAACUUAUGUUUAAACUAGCCCCUUACCACGUAGAAGUCAUGUCAUAAUUUUAAAAAAAAAAUUAAUUAAAAAUAUUAAAUUGUACAUUAUUAUUGAAAUUAAAAAUAUAUUUUUUAAUAAUAAUAAAUUAUAUAUUUAAACUUAAAUAUCUAAUAUUACUUUAAUAAAGAUAAAUUGAUAAAUAUAAUAAUAAAUAAAUAUUUUAUUUAUCAAUAAAUUAAUAAUAUUAAAAUAAUAAAGUUAUAUGAAAUCUAAAUAAGAUAUGCCAAUUGAGGCUUCAGUUAUUUUAUUUUUUACUUUAAAAUUUAAUUAAAAAUAUUAAAUUUUAAAUUAUUAUUGAAAUUAAAAAAAUAUAUACUUUAAUAAUAAAAAUUUAUAUAUUUAAACUUAAAGAUCUAAUAUUACUUCUAAUUUGAUAAAUAUAAUAAAUAAAUAUUUUAUUUAUCAAUUAAUUAAUAAUCUUAAAAUAAAAUUACAUGACAUAUCAAUAAAAUAUAAAAUUAUAUGAUUUAUUAAUUUAAGUUAUAUUACAUGUAAUAUUAGGAAGGGCCAUUUUUUUUCCAUUAUAUAAAUGUUUAAUGGGUAUUUUUUGUGACUUUGAUGAAACUACUAAAAAUUACAUUUUGUAGUAGAUUUUUUCUAAUUAAUUUCAUUAACUAAUUUCAAAAUGUAUCUUCAAGUCAUAUAUAUUGUGUUUACAAAAUAAUAGUCUUUUCUUACGUUAAACUAUAAAUAUAUGCUUUAAAAUAAUUAAAAAAAUCUAUAUAUAGAAACUUAAGAAUAUACUAUUAUGUUAAUAAAGAUAAAAUUGUCAAAAUACAAAUAAAUUAAUAUCUUAAAAAUACAAUAAAUUAAAUAUCUUAAAUAAUAAAUUAUAUAAUUUUAUAUCUUAUUUAGAUUUCAUAUAACUUUAUUAUUUUAAGAUUAUUAAUUUAUUGAUAAAUAAAAUAUUUAUUUAUUAUUAUAUUUAUCAAUUUAUUUUUAUUGAAGUAAUAUUAAAUAUUUAAGUUUAAAUAUAUAAAUUAUUAUUAUUAAAAUAUAUAUUUUUAUUUUAAUGAUAAUUUAUAAUUUAAUAUUUUUAAUUAAAUUUUAAAAUAAAAAAAAUAACUGAAACCUCAAUUAUCAAUUGGGGUUUUAAUUAAAAAAUAAAGUCUUAAUUGAUAAUUAAAAUUUCAGUUAAAAAAUAAAGUCUCAGUGGUCAACUCAGGCUUCAAUUUAAAUUUUGAUAAAAAAAAAUUAUAAUAUUGCUUAUAUGUGAAAGACUAAUUUCAACAUAAGUUUUAUAAAAGGGGUAAAGGUUAUAUUUUUUUUUUACAUAAAAGAUAAAAGGCUAUUUUGCCCCCAAAACUCUAGAAACUGGGAUGAAAGAGGUAACUUUGAAGGAACUUUACAAUCGCAUAUAUGUAUAAAAAAAUUUCAUGUCACUUUCAAACUAUCAUGGUCCCACCCAGUGAAAGCCUGUCACCUCCUAUUUUAAAUUACUCUUCUUUUUCUAUUUUUUAUUUUACCUUUGGUCAAUGACAAGGAAGCUUUAUUGUUUCCAGCCUGGUUGUAUGCUAGAGUUUUAUGUCUUGCUGGAAUGACGCUUCAGUUUAAUUAAAAAAAAAAGUUUUCUUGUUUGCUUUUUGCCAGUGAAGUUUCUUAGACAAAUUAAGCUAAGAUAUAAUUAUAUACUUUAUUUUGCUCUGAAAAAUUAUUAGGGAGAAUUACCCUCAAGGGUAGGCUGGGGAAAAAAAUGACCAAUGAGGGUGGGUAAAUUUGAUAAUUCUUCUGAAGGCCUUAUAUUUUUAUUAGACUAAUUUACCCUCAAUUUGACCAUUGAACCAGCCAUUGUCACCAGACGAUUGUUCCAACUUCUGAAGGCACUACCCCUUCAAUUUAUUGCUCUGCCCAUUAAGUUCUAAUCUUAAAAAUCAAGCAAAUACUAAUAUCUCUAAUUAAUUUGUCAAUUUAUUCACACGCACACACAAAUUGAUUGAAAGAAAUCUAUACCAACUUUUGAAUAUCCUUGCUGAAGCUUAUAAUAGAACCCAUGUUGUUGUACUAAAGAGAAGAGAUACUAGUGUCACCAUAAAUCUUUCUAAAUAAAUCUUCUAAUAAUAAGUUGGACGAUCCAAAAUACCCAUUACUCACUUGUUUUGAUGGGUCUUUUAAUUAUCUUAGUAGAGGAAAAAUAAUUUAAGCUCAGUUUGGUUAAUAUUUUUUAAACUAAUUUUUAUUCUCUUGAAAAUAUAUAUAUCUGAAAUUAAGAUAAUAGAAAAAAAAUUAAAAGGAAAAAAUAAAGUAUUUUUAAAAAAUAUUUUUUAAUUAAUUUUUACUUACUCUUCUCAUAAUUGUUUUAAAAAAUAAUUAUACAAAUAUAAAAAAAAAUCAAAAAUAAAACAUAACAUAUACAAAUUAUUUUUAAAAUACAUUCAAAAACAAAGAAACAAACAAAUAUUUGUUUUAUAAAAUAAUAGAUAAUAGUUUUCCAAAAAUUAUUAUAAAAAAUUGUUUUUAAAAAUUAUUUUCAAAAAUAAAUAUCAAAUAAGGUCUUAAACUUUGUUUGAUAACUAUUUUAAAAAAUAAUUUUAUGUUUUUUAAAAAUAAAUUUCAAAUAACUAAAAAAAGGUUUUUUUUUGUUCUUAAAAAGAAAAAAUAUAUAUUCUUGAAAAAUAAUGGUAUAAAUAUAAAGAAUAAUUAAAAGUAAAUCAUUAUAUAUAAAAGUUAUUUUUAAAAUCCAUUUAAAAAUAUAGAAAAUAAGUUUAAAAUAUUUUAAGUUUCAAAGUGAUUUUUAUUUUAUAAAACAUAAUGAUUUUUCAAAAAUUACUUUUAAAAACUGUUUUAUAAAAUCAAAACAAAAUCUUAUCCCUUUUUUCGGAGAUCUCUAUCUUUUCUUUCCCCAGCAGUCCCAAAAUUAUACCUAUGCACCUGCAUUUUUAUACUAUGCUUGUUCCCAAAAAUUAAGCCCAUAAAUUAGUUCUAGCUAUACCCAUCAAUGAACUGACAAAUCAACAAUAAAAAUGGCUCCACGAGAGCCGGACAAAGUGGAGUUCACAGCAAUACAUUGAUAACUGUAGGCAUUGCACUGUCAACUCAUCAUUUCCCAAACUAAUUUGAGGUUACAAAAAAAAAUAAAAAAAUAUUGAACCAUUAUAUAUAAGAAAUUGGUAAUCAACCCAAAAAAUUGGACUUUAUUUAGUCAAAAGAUUGCAUUGUUAGUUUAUGUUGUAAUUUAUCAUACAGUUAGUGUUUUUUUAUCGUAAUGUUAGUGAAUUUAUGUUGUAAAUGUAAUUAAAAAUGUAGGCAAAACUGUGAACUAUUAUAAUUAAAAAUCUAAUACAAGUCCACAUAAUGGAGAUAAAUAACCUAUUACAAAUAACUCCAAAUACAAAUACAUCAAAGUACAAUACAAUUAAGCAUUACAUAUAUAAUCCAAAACUUAAUAGACAUGAAGUAAGUGUAUGAUUAAGCAAUUUUCAAACAUAGAACAAAAAAUAAAAGUAGUCCUACUACAAUUACUUUCUGCAUGAACUCAAUUCUUGUUAAAAUAUGUUUAAAAUCUUCAUCCACGCUAUACAUUCUUCUUUGAACAACGUCUUCUGGUUCUUGGUAGGUGUUGUCAUCACCAUUUCCUUCCGGGAAUGCCCAUUUAAAGAAAUGACAGUCAUCUCUAGUAUUUGCAUAUUGACAACAAUAAUAUAACCUAUUUGGGUUAUCCUUUGAUUCAGAGAUUCUAACAGCCGCCCUCUGUCUGGGUGAACAUUUACACAUACAGUUAUGAUAAAGUAGAUAUUCACCAUUUCUAGUAUUACCUCUUAUAUUUCUAAAUGAAGCACUUGAAGAUGCCAUGAUGUAACCUGUAUUUCAAUGGAAAACAAGUUAAACAAAUGUAAUGAACAUGUACAAAGUCAAUAAUGAUCUUCAAAAUAACAUUAAAAACAUGGUUACAAACCACCCUAAAUAAUGAUAAGAUCAUAAGUCUAAAAUAGUGGCAUAUGUAAUACAAACAUCUUUGUCAUGACAAUCAAGUAAAUAAGUAAGUUCCAAAACAAAUUCUUACAGAUUCUAAUUUCAUAAACCACACAUAUCAUCACAAUCAAAAUAAGAUAAAAAGUAGCAUGUCACUAAACAAGCAUAACAUUAGAAUCAUGGAGCGGGUAAUGGAUUUUUUCAUGAAGCUCGAUUAUGGCCUGCAACUUGACAUCGUGAACAGAAGAUAAGCCUUUUUGAACUAAAUUGAGACUCUAUUCGACGGUGUCGAGGCCUUCCAAGUGGUCGUUUUGAGCAUGGAGGUUUAAGUGAAGGAUAUAAGCAACCUUGAGCAUCACGAACACAUCCAUCNNNNNNNNNNNNNNNNNNNNNNNNNNNNNNNNNNNNNNNNNNNNNNNNNNNNNNNNNNNNNNNNNNNNNNNNNNNNNNNNNNNNNNNNNNNNNNNNNNNNGAUAAAGUAGAUAUUCACCAUUUCUAGUAUACUCUUAUAUUUCUUAAAUGAAGCACUUGAAGAUGCCAUGAUGUAACCUGUAUUUCAAUGGAAAACAAGUUAAACAAAUGUAAUGAACAUGUACAAAGUCAAUAAUGAUCUUCAAAAUAACAUUAAAAACAUGGUUACAAACCACCCUAAAUAAUGAUAAGAUCAUAAGUCUAAAAUAGUGGCAUAUGUAAUACAAACAUCUUUGUCAUGACAAUCAAGUAAAUAAGUAAGUUCCAAAACAAAUUCUUACAGAUUCUAAUUUCAUAAACCACACAUAUCAUCACAAUCAAAAUAAGAUAAAAAGUAGCAUGUCACCAAACAAGCAUAACACUAGAAUCAUGGAGCGGGUAAUGGAUUUUUGCAUGAAGCUCGAUUAUGGCCUGCAACUUGACAUCGUGAACAGAAGAUAAGCCUUUUUGAACUAAAUUGAAACUCUAUUCGACGGUGUCGAGGCCUUCCAGGUGGUCGUUUUGAGCAUGGAGGUUUAAGGGAAGGAUAUAAGCGACCUUGAGCAUCACGAACACAUCCAUCAGCAUCAACUAUAGGCAUGUUGUGAUUUGGAAUUGAAUUGAAGUGUCCAGAAUAUAUCAACUCUUGCAUUGGAAGCUUGAAAUAUGAGUCAACAUAUUCAUAAACAUCUUGUUUCAUCUGGCGUAUUGCUGCACAUGCAUGCUCACGAGGUAUUCCGGCCAUUUGCCAAGCCUUACAAGUACAUGUACGCUCUCUCAAAUUCACGUCUACAUAUACUUUCAUAUUGAAUACCUUAAACACACCACCAACAUAGGGAUAUACAGGCAAUGACCCACUCUUUAUAAUGUUUUCCAACAACUUUUCCUCGGUCUUUGGGCCAAUUGUAGCUUUCCAAUUUUCUGUAGAACUCAUAUGAUCACAUGCUAGAUGAGCAAACUUAUCCAUAUGUGUCAUUACUAAGUUGAAAAUUGUGUAAUGACGUUCCUCCUUCAGCCAAACAUUGAAUGAUUCAGCAAGAUUAGUUGUCAUCUUAUCCCAUCGUUUUUUUGGCAAACUUUGACAUUGCCCAAUGUUGUGGACUGUUCUCUUCAACCCACUUCGCUAGGUCACUGUUAUAUGUCUUUAAUUUUUCCAUGGCUACAACAUAAUCAUCAUCCAACCUAGCAUACGCAACAUUAUCAAGUAGCAACAAUGCAUCCAUUUUACAUUUUUUUCCCUUCAUACUAUCUUUCGUCACAUAGCUACUAAAAUUCUCCUUCACAUGACGAUAACAAUAUGCAUGAUUUUCUACUCCAAAAAGUUGAGAAACACUACGAAGGAUUGCUUGAUGCCUAUUUGAUAUUAUGACUACCUCUUUAUCUUGAAGUAUGCCCUUCAAUUUCUGCAAAAAUCAUAGCCAAUCCUCAUAGUUUUCUGAACUUACAACACCAAAUGCAAUUGGGAACAUGCCAUCAUCAGCAUCGUAAGCUGUUGCAGAAAAUAAAGAGCCCCUAUAUGGUCCACUCAAAUGAGUUGAGUCAAUUGCAAUAACAGGUCGACAACCCAUUAAAAACCCUUGAAUUGAAAAAGAAUGUGCAAUGAACAAUUGCCAAAAAUGCCCAUCUUGUCUGCUAUAUUCAGCAAUCGUCCCUGGAUUAAUGUCUACCAAUCUCUGACAUAACCAUGGCAACAACAUAUAUGAGUUUUCUGGAAGACCAUAUAUUCUCUCUUUUGCCAUUUCUUUGUAUGUCCAAGCUUGCUUAUAACUCAAUGAAACACCAUACCGACUCCUGAAGUCUUUGCAAAUUUGACGGGGCAAAUAUUGAGGGGUUGCCCUUAUUACUUGCUCUAUGACACAAGCACCUCUCCUUCCCCGCAUUGAAGGUUGGCUUGAACACUCAACAUCUGCACAAUGAUUGUGUACAUCAAUGAAGAUGUUAACCUUCAAAAUUUUGGUUGUGCCUACUGAAUUAGCAGUUAUUCUCCAAGGGCACCCAUCCACUAAACAACACACAGAUAUUCGCUUUGGAGAGUUCUUUUUGAAUUUGUAUUGAAAUCUACCAACUAAUGACAUCGUAUAUAAUGCAUUUCUAAAUUCAUCUACAUUAGGAAAACUAUGCCCACUCCCAAUAAUAGGUUGAGGACAAAGACUUAAAUCAUGUGGCAUAACUUCAGUUUCUGCACAUCUGGACAUGAAGCCUUGAGAAAGUCCUAAAUUAGACUCAUUGUUUGCUUGACAUGAUGCAACUGAAUUGUGUGUUUCCUCCGUACUAUUGUGACUGCAUAUUAUAGCACACUCAGUUAAUUAAUAUUAAAAGCACUUUGCAUCAUGGAAUUAAUGACAACUAAUACAAGAUAUAUCACUUACUAAUAAUCAUUUUGCACAUUGACUAUACCUCCUUCAACUUCUACUCUUCGAGUCCGUUUUAAUACAUAAAUACGAGCAUAAUCAUAACUAUGGGAUAACAUCAUAUGCAUGUCCUCAUCAUCAUCCAACUGUUGAAGUGUAGAUGGAUCAAACUCAAGGGUGUAAUGAAAUGUAUAUCCAUUUGAAUUAAUAUCCAACCGUUCACAUGCCUUUGAAACAAAUUCAGCAUAUGACAUCCUUUGUCCAAUGUACAUGCCUUUUUGUUGUCCACCCUUGUAUUGUAUUUGUUUAUCCUCCUUAGGUACAAUCUCCCCUCCUUCAUGAAGGUAGCCAUAAAUGGAAUUUUCCAAGUCCAUUUACCAAUUCAGAAGUACGUCUUCUUUCACUGACAAUCAAAUCAAUCUAUUUCACAAUAUUACAAUCAAUGAAAAUUUUACAACGAAUACAAAAUAAACAAAUGAAAAUUAUAAUCAAUUGAGAGACAUAUUUUAUAUAAUAAAUAACAAUAUUUGUUGUAUAUUAUACAUGUUAGGGAUAUGCUAAAGAACCCAUAAUUGCCCAGUUUCAUAAGAAAUUUGACGUUUUCAAAAUUUUACCUUAUUGUAAUGUAUCGUAAUGUUAUUGUAUUUGUAUUGUAAUUGUACUAUAUUUUAAUUAUACCUCUAUAUUUUUAUAUAAAAAAAAUUAAUUUUAUAGAUUUUUUUUAUCCAUCAUUGGAUUAUCAUCAACAACUAUUUCACAAUAUUACAAUCAAUGAAAAUUUUACAACGAAUACAAAAUAAACAAAUGAAAAUUAUAAUCAAUUGAGAGACAUAAUUUAUAUAAUAAAUAACAAUAUUUGUUGUAUAUUAUACAUGUUAGGGAUAUGCCAAAGAACCCAUAAUUGCCCAGUUUCAUAAGAAAUUUGACAUUUUCAAAAUUUUACCUUAUCGUAAUGUAUCGUAAUGUUAUUGUAUUUGUAUUGUAAUUGUACUAUAUUUUUAUUAUACCUCUAUAUUUUUAUAUAAAAAAAAUUUAUUUUAUAGAUUUUUUUUUAUCCAUCAUUGGAUUAUCAUCAACAACUUCAUGUAUUGAAAUUACAAUAGUGUAUUUUUGUUGUUGUUUUUUUUUAUAAUUUUGGCUUGCAAGGAUGCUUUAUGAUAGGAAUACAACAUGAUAGCCUAGAAAUGUCAAUUCAGUAAAAAAUAAUUCAAUAUUUUGUCAUUUUGGUAUAUUGUAAUGUAUCAUAAUGUUAAUAUUUUUUCAUUGUAACUAUAUUGCAUUUGUAUUGUACUUAUACUUUAUAACUGAAAUAAUGGUUCUUUUAUACAACCUUCAAACUACUAGGCAUUCGACUCAUCAUACCAAAAUAAUACUUAUACAAAAAGGUAACAAAUUUAUAACAAAAAUAUAGUGAUCUUAACUCUUUAACAAAUUCAUAAUAAAAGACAAAGUGGUCUCGUACAAAGGGGAUUUCAGUUUUCAAUGACAAUCCAAAUAUGUUUAUAAACACACAAACAAAGUGGUCCCAAACAAGCAUGAAACAACUGAGAACAUUUUUUCUUCAAUCAUGUCAAAAAGUCUUAACAACAAAACUAAAGUGCAAACCUUUUCAAUGGAAAUCAAUAAUAAUCAUAUCAAACAACCCACCCAGAAAAUAAAUUAAAAAUAAAAACACAUCUUCAAUAUGACCUAAAUAAUAUAAAAAAAUUCAAAAUAAUAAAUUUAAAUAACAUUUAAAAAAAAAUGUAAUUUCUUUCUCAAAACCUCAUUCAAUAUUUCAGAUCUAAUAUCUUACAACUACAUUGUUAAAAUUAUUAACUUUUCCUUCAUUCAAUCCGAUUUUUAAAUUAUUUAUUUAUUUUUCCAUAAACUGACGUUUUUUUUGUAUUAAAAAAAAAAAACUGACCUUUAAUGGAUUUCUUGCUAGAUUCACAAAAAAAAAAACAAGUUUUGUGUAUCGGUUGCAGAGAAUGACCUGAAGUGCACACCUUUUUCCUUUCCCCUUUUUCUUCUACAACUCGGCUCUAGGUAGGUUAAAGAAAGGGAGAAUAAACUCUUUUUUAUUUUCUGUUGCUUUUCACUUUACUUGCUUUUCAUUUAUUAAGGGUAGUAUUGGCAUUUAAACAAAAUAAGGCCUUUAGAGGAAUUAUCAUAAUUUUACCCUAUCCUUUACAAUAAUUAUCAAAUUUACCCACCCUCAUUGAUCAUUUUUUCCCCAGCCUACCCUUAAGGGUAAUUCUCCCAAAUUAUUAUCUUAUCAUAAACAUCAUAAAUGUUUGUUGUACUUUUUGUAAGUAAUUUUCAUAUUAAAUAAAUAAACUACUAAAUAGAUAAGUUAACAAAUUUUUUUAGAAAUCCUUAAGUGACACAAUCUAUAGAAAAUUAUGAGGACACCAUUUCAUACUUGUUACGUUUUAUUAAAUUUUUUAAAGUUUAUUAAAUUUUAGGUUUUUUCUAUUCCUGAAAUUUUAAAGGAAAGAAACAAAGAGUAAAAAUAGGAAUAAAUAAUAAAUAAUAAAUUAUUUUUAUAUAUUAUUUCACACAUGUGUAAUUGAAUUUUAACUUUUUAUAUAACAAUUAAAUAAUUCUAAAAUAUAUUAGUUUUUAAUAAAUUUUAAUUGUAUUUAUUUUUCUAUUACAUUUUUUUAUGUUAAAAUCAAAUAUUAAAAAUAAUUUAUUGGUUUUCCAAAAGUGUAUUAGAGUGUGUUUGAUAAUAUUUUAAUUCGAAAUGUUUUUAUAGAAGUGUUUUUACAAGAAACACUUAUUAAAUAUUUCUUUAAAAAAUAUUAUAAGUGUUUUUUUUAAUAUUAUAAAUGAUUUUUUUAAUUUUUUAAAAGUGUUUCCAAAAUUUUGAAAAAUAUUUAUUUAUUUAUUUAUUUCAAAAACACUUUUUAUGCUAAGAAACAUUUUUAUGCUAAAAUAUAAAAUAUAAUUUUUAUUCAUUUAAAUUAAUAUAUUUUUUCAAAAGUAUUUUUUAAAAUAGUUUUUAAAUCACUAAUAUAAUUUUUGUUUAUUUACAAUUUAAAAAUAAAAAAUAAUUCCAAAUUUUCAAUUAUUUUUCAAAGAGUUUAAAAAAUAAUAAUAAAUAAUUAAAUAAGGGAGAAUUUUAUAAAAGUGGCAUACAAAAAGAGGGGUAUAAAAACAAAAAUGAUGGGUAGAAGUUAAAGGGGUGUUUUUGUCUAUUCCAAUCAUACCCUAUUGUAGACCCCCUUUUAGUGGUGAGGACCCGGGGGGGUUUGUUUUUUUUUUGAAUUUUCAUUAUCUUGUUGGAGGGGUAGGGGACCCCAGCUGAGUUUGGAUGUCGUCUGCAUGAGACGUGCAGAUGGAGAGGGGCAGAGACGCCAGCCGUGCUAGGGGUCAGAGACGCCAGCCUUGCUAGUGGUCAGAGAAGCCAGGCUGCUAACUGGUGAACAGGAACUGGAGGGUUGGCUUGCUGAAGAAGACACCAAUAGGGGGAUGAAAGAGGGAGGGACAGGAAAAAGGUGGAAAAAUCCGGAGAGAGGGGGGGUGAGCUUAUAGAGGAGGGAGCCGAGUAAGCACGGCGGAAGAAGUUCAGGUAUGGCCAACAUGGAUUUCUUUAUUUUGGUUCUCUUCAUUUUCCUUCUCUAUUAUUGCUGUUUUUUAGUAUAAUUUGUUGUUGAUCUCUUGGUUGCUGGGAUUUUGUUAUCGUUUGUCCUUGUCACAUUUUCUGGAGUUUUGUUUUGGGUAUGAACUGUCUCUGUUGCAGCUUUCCUAAAAUNNNNNNNNNNNNNNNNNNNNNNNNNNNNNNNNNNNNNNNNNNNNNNNNNNNNNNNNNNNNNNNNNNNNNNNNNNNNNNNNNNNNNNNNNNNNNNNNNNNNUUUCCUUUGUUUCUGGACUGUUCAAAGUGUUGGAUAUCUCAGCUGGGUGAUUCAUUUUGGUUGGGAUAUUUAUGAGAGAGUCCCAUAAGAAGCUCAAUUCUCAUACAAACGAAAAUUUCUGGAUACCUGUAAGAUGUGUGAACCACAUUCAUUAAAUGUUGAGAGAUGCAGAAGGGAGAGCCCGGAUGAGGAUGGAGUAUGCAGUCGUCAUGUUAUGGGACCCUUACAGCACAACAAAUGCUUUGUAGCAACAGUCACCAAUCGGGACGGUGCACCAGUUACUUAAGGCGAGAAAGCCAGAGAUCCACAACGUUAUAGAUUGCACCGGUAGUGGAGAUUAUUUGAUAUCUCAACUAUGACGAAGGCUGAUUCAGGCGUUUGACCACAUGGAGCACCAUGUCGGCUGUAACAGGUGCGUCAAGGCAGCAACUUGCGAACCUCGGUUUGGCAGUGAUGGCGUGGGUUCAUAGCAAUCGAUCCAUACGUGGAGCAGAUUAUAUAUUAUGAAGAUAAGGCGAGCCAUUUGAAAUGAGGUCCUCGGUAUUUCCACUAGUGUUUUUUGGAUGUCAACUCUUGCAUGGGACUGCCAGACAUGUUGACUAUUUUUGAACCCAAGACCCAGCGUCCCAUGAAUCGCAUCAGGCGGCCAAAGGGCGUCGUAACCGGGUAUUCACAGGGGCAAGGUCCCCAAGCUGCAGUUUCAGUUUAGCGCUGGGUUUUCGGGCACUCCGAAUAAAACAAGACUGCCCAAGAACUUCACUUUAUUGGGUCUGGGGGCAGGCUACAUUUGUAACCAAGCAACCAUCGAAGCUCCUUCACUUUCCCUCUCCUCUGAUGGCCGGUGAAAAACUUGCUAACAGGGAUGAGCGUGAUCUAUGCAUGAUUGGAGUUGGAAAUUGCUCCCAGUUGCAGUCUCCCUCUUUGCCAUAUAACCCCUUCUAUUUCACCCUUGCCGUUUCCCAUGAACUGGAAAUCCCGUGUACAAGGCUUUGCAUGGCCACCUCAAGCAUCUUCCAUGUGCUUAAUCCAUCUCCUCAUGCCGUUCACCCUCACCCAUCUUUCAUAACCUCCCAUGCACAUGCUCAUUUUCUGAAAACUCAUUCAAACCUAUCCCCACCACCUUCGCAUGGCCAUGCAUGGCCACUUCUAUUCACUUCUUCAUACCCAUCGUCAUCCCCUACAUCCAUCAAACCAUCCCACUAAGCCCAUCACUUCAGAUGAAUGAGCCUGCUUUGCACCCUCCAUCUGUAUUGCCACCCAUUAAAUCUGCUCCAGCAUCUGAAAUGACCAAACGUCACAUGCCUUUCAAACCCACCAAUCACACCCAUUUUCCAUACCCACUAAGCCCAUUUGCCAUGCAUGGUCACGUGACGCCCGCCACACUCAUUUCUUGCUCAGCAUACCCAUUUUCUCUCUCAAAUUUAUCCACUACAAGCUGCCACACCAUGGACUGUGAGACAUAGUUGAUGAUUUUGUGAAUCAGUUUGAGAGCUUUUGAAAGUAAGGGCCUUUAUUUUGUGCACAUGCAUGCUGGGACCCAUCUUUUUGAAAUCAUCAACCAUGUGGUAGAGGCUGUAGAGAAACGCAUAGAGGAAACAUGUAGGAGUAUUAUGGUGUGCUAUAAGGAUGAUGCCUCUUGAGCGAAAGAUAUUGCCCUGAGGAAGUUCAGGGAUAAAGACCUUUUGGGUGCAAAGAAAUUUGUAUCCUGGGUGUGAGGGUAUUUCUCAAAUGUUAACUAUGUUUGAUGUGUACAUCUCAGCUGAGAAGAAAGUGAGUGGAGGAGUGGAUUGGUAUGGGAUACUUGGCGUAAUCCCUUUGGCCGAUGAGGGAACUGUGAAGAAACAAUGCAGGGAGCUGGCUCUUAUGCUUUAUCCUAAUAAAAACAAGUCCACUGGUGCAGAUGGUACAUUUAAGUUUGUUUCAGAGGCUUGGAGUUUAUUAUCUAACAAGAGCAAGUAUUUGCUGAAUGUUUCCCACUGAUGGCAUUGCUUAAACAAAUUGGUGGAUAAAAGUCAAAGAUAUAGUUUUUUAUAUUAUUUUUUAUUCUUCAUUGGUGGCAUGGUUCCAGCAGGCUUCAAGGUGGCUUAUUAUUAUUUUUUCUCUUUUCUCCCACGUGCCAUCUUCUUAAUUCCACUUUACAUGUUAAGAUUUUCAUUUUUUUUGCAAAUUCAUUCAUUUAUUGAUUUAUUUUAUCUAUUUUAUUCAUUUAUUUUUUAUUUGUCUAUUUAUUUAUUUAUUUAUUAUUUUAUUUAAGAAUAUAUAUAUACACGUAUCAUUUCCAAAAUAAUCUCAUAAAAUGUGAUUUUUAAAUUUAUUUUACGAAACUUCAAAUCUAACAUUCAAUUUUCCAAAACUCCAAUAUUUUAAGUUCUAAAAAAAUUUUCAUUAUUCACGUUCAUUCAUUUAAAUAUUAUUCUCAUUAUUAUUAUUAUUAUUAUUUCGUUCAUUUAUUUUACAAAUUCCAAUAAUUAAAGUUCAAAUUUUUCAAAAUUCCGUUUUCCGAAUUUAAUUUUCAAUCUCAAAAAUUCCACUAUUCACAUUCAGCUGUUUAAUGAUUAUUUUCGUUAUUGUUAUUAUCUCGUUCAUUUAUUUAUUCACUUAUUCAUAUAUUUAAAAAUCUCAUCUCCAAAUAAUUUCUCAAAAUCUCAAUCUCUAAAUUCGAUCUCCCAUCUCUAAAAUUCUAUUUUUCGCAAUUAUUUACCUAAUCUUUAUUAUUUCAUCAUUAUUAUUAUUUCACUCAUUUAUUUAUUCACUUAUUUGUUUAUUAAAAUUCCGUAUUUAAAUAAUUUUUCAAAAUUCCGAUUCCCAAAUUUAGUUCUCUGAAAUCCCAAUUCCUUUCAAAUUUAAUUACUAAAAUUCUCAUUCUUAUAUUUAAUUUCUAAAAAUCUAAUUUUCAAAUAAUCUCUAAAACUCCAAUUUUCAAAUAAAUUUCAAAAAUCCAGUUUUCCCUUAAACAAUUUUAAUUUCUAUUUGGUGAUGCAUGCGGUAUGUUUUGUGUUCUUUAUUAUACACUGACCCUAUUUUUAUGAUAGUGCAUGGUGGUUCGUUGCCCAGGUAUGUACCCAUUUCCCCUCUAAUCGUUGUCUAUGCAUGUCUCGAUUCUCACAUGUGCGUGAUUUAUCCUGAGUGUUCAUUGAUUUACUCAUUCAUUGCCAUGAUUGCUUCAAUUUUAUUAGUAGAGACCUGACUUAGGGACUUAGAGGGGUGCUAUGGUCUUUACAGUACCUUCCUGAUAAGUAACCUGACCCCCGAACCCGAUCCGGUUUUUCACAGACCACCUUUUCCAAAACAAGGAGUCACACUUAGGGUUUUUCUUUCUUAUUUUGUUUACCCUUUAGAAAUAAAACAAAAAUAAGUGGCGACUCCAAGUCAAUUUUUCUUAAUCAAUAAAGAUCAAAUUUUCAAAUUAAAAUCGAGCUCGCCAUCGAGUGGGAAACGCAUGAGCCGAAAUGCGGGGUCCACAAAAUGGCGACUCCACUGGGGAUAGUUAGAGGGUCAAACUCGAACUUAAAGUGAAGUAAACGUGGCAUUUGAUUGGACGAUUAGUGGAUGCUCAUAUCUUGAUUGUACAUUGGGGAUUUCUUGAUGCAUGCUUAGAGGUCGUAUUCAUUUGAGUUUUUGACAUGUUGGAUUAUUGAUGAUUGAUCUUAUUGCAUUGCUUAGCGUAUUGAUUCUGAUUUUGCCAUGAUUGUUUUGGUCACCUCACAUGCAUACACUCACCACUGUAUAUCAUUUGAUUGGACAUGUUGAUUCAUUUGCUUGUAUAUUAUCUUGAUCGUCUUUGAGCAUGAUGUUUAUUUCACUAUUUGUCUUGAUUUUCAUAUUCUCGCUUAUUUUGUGUGUACAUGGUGAUAUAUCUGAGCACCGACUGAUUGUAUGUUGCAUGACUGCCAUUUUUCUGUGUGAUUGCAUGCCGCUUGUCUCUGUGGGUAGCACAUUUAUCCCCUUACCUCCUAUUCUCUUGGUUUCGGUCAUUCCUUUCAUCUCGGCUCUCACUAUUGCAAGUGAGGCCUUUUGUGUGUUUGCUCCCUGACCGAGCCAGAGAUUAGGAGUAGGGUCUAGCGACGGGCUAUAUCGAUGUAUGGGAGCAUUCUGGAGGAGAGCGACACUUUGAUGUCGAUUGGAGUCCGAUCAUUGAAGACCUGUAUAGCCCCGAGCUAGGUUUCAUGGAUAGUCGUGCGACCAGUGUGUUUCCUCUUUUGCUUUAGAUUCUUAGGGUUUUCGGAUGCACCCACACCAUUCACUGUGCACUUUAGUUGACCAUUGAGCGUUGAGAGUUUGAGAGGUUUCACCAUAGGAAACCCCUUGGGAUGUCGGGGUAGUGAAUGUGUGGAGGUGAUGACCACCUUGCAUGGAAGCGUCUCGUCUCUUCGGAGACGUGCAGAAGGUUGCGUACCGCCGGAGGGUACGAUCGCUUCUGCUAUGGAUCUUUAAAGUCCACCCAUAUCCAUUUAGAGCCACCUUCACCUCGUAGGUUGAGCUGUAGAUCCUUCGAUUAGGACUCCCUCCCUACACGUGGGUGCAUCUGAGGGCUUUCAGAGCCUCUGUGGUUACACUUCGGAUUUGGCAUUCCCUCUUUUUAGUCUCCAGUUGAGAGUGCUUGGAGAUCGAUAUGAGUUUGAGUACGAUUGGAUCACCUUUAGUCUUGUCGCCUUAGUUUGUGUUUUUCACUUGAUGAGUUUAGCAUGUUUUCUCUCUAGGGUUUUCAUUCUCAUUUCUUGGCUCGACACACCCUUUCACUUUGUUGUCACUUACUCGAUACUUUGGGACACGUUCAUGAUCACCUUUUUACACUGUCCACCUAUCACGGGCUCAGUACCUCAUUCUUUGUUUGAUCCUUGGUUCGAUUUUCAACUUGAUGCUCAUAUUUUCAUUACUAGAAAGGUGAAAGACACAUUUUCAUAUUCACACAUUUUUCGGGAGAUUCGCCUUGAUCACCUUAUCAUUUUCUUCCCUUAUGGAGCUCGAGUUGAAGGUUGAAUCAAGGAUAUUUUGUUAUAGAUUGAGUAUCGAUCUCGUGAUAGUGUUGUUCUUCACACCCCAUUCAUUUUCUUCGCACCUCUAUCACUUCCUGGAUCAUCGAUAGAAAUUCUUUAGUCAUAUUUGUAGUUGUCUCACACUGGACACUCAUGUGACUCUAGAGUUUCUAUCGUAUAUCCAAAUUUUGAUUGUCACCAUGCGAUUGUGUAUCGCACCCUGUCAUGUAUUGGGUUGUGUUGUGUCAUGCACUGGUCAUUUGUUCGUUGCAUCCCGUGUCGUUGUAUGAGUCGUGUUUGAGUCGUUUUGCUUGGGUUCUUUUGUAGGGGUCUAUCUGUAGUCCCAGUCUUGGUUCAGUGCCCUGGGUUGAGUGGGAGGUUGAUUCGUAUUGCUGAGCUGCUAUAGACGGGCUCACAGUCAGUUUCGAUUGGUUAGCUUAUUGCUUCUGUGGUUUUGAUUCUGGAGGCAUUGACCAGUUUGAGUUAGAGGAUGGAUACUCAGCAGAGUAGGCAUGUAGUGCUCGAGGACACGCCAUCUGAUAUAGUGACGCCACCUGUUCUACCUAUUCAGAUGCCAGCUACACAGACUUCGCUUGCUACUUCAUAUGAUCAGGCUGCUGUCAUUUCACCCAUUGUCACACCAGUUACCAUUAUUGAGGAUCCUCGUUCCCGUAUGGACAGACUCGAGCAGAGGAUUAGACAGAUGAGAGAUCCUGAUGAGAUGAUUUCAUGGGAUGACCUUGACGAUGUGCCAGUGGCCACUUUGCCAGUCGGUUUUAGGAUGCCUGAUAUAGAGAGAUAUACGGGUGUUGGAUGUCCUCGUAUUCAUCUCAGACUUUAUAGCACAGUUAUGAGAGCCCUUGGUCUAGAUGAGGCACAGUUGCUCACUUUGUUCCCGUUGUCAUUGAGUGGCAUGACGCAGAGAUGGUACGCUUCAUUAGAGACAUCUCGUCGGAGAACUUGGGAGGACUUAGCACAGGAGUUUCUAAGACAGUAUUCCUUCAAUGGUGAUACGAGCGUUACACGUAGAGAGCUUGAGUUUCUUAGACAGGGAUCAGAUGAGUUUGUUUCUUCUUUUAUCUCUCGUUGGAGGGAGAAGGUUGUGGAGAUGAUUGAGCGACCUACCGAGAGAGAUCAGAUGAGCAUGUUUUUGAGGAGUUUGCACCCUAGGUUUGCUCGGCAUUUGACAGGAGUCCCAUUCCGGGAUUUCAGAUCAUUGGUUCAGGCUUUGAUUGAUGUAGACGAUAGCAUAUCUAGAGGAUUAUGGUCGGAUAUUAUUCCUUCCUCAAAUACUGAGGGGAAGAGAGUUGGUGGAUCAUCUGAGAGCUAUGGAGACGUAUGUUCUGCGGAUUUUCAGCAUCGACGACCUGGUUAUCAUUCCUAUGCGAGAUCAUUGCAGAUACCCAGGAGUGAUUUCCUGCCUUUACAGCAUCAUCAUCCUCAUUCAGUUCAGCAGUACCCUUUUGUGCAUCCUCAUAUUGUCACGGUGCGACCUUCAUUGCAGUUUCAGCGUCCACAGACUAGUAUCCCACGACAUGAGCAGUCUCUUCCCCAUCGGCGACAUCAGAGGACUUAUACUAAUUUGGGGAUGCCUUUGGAUAGAGCUUUUGAGCGACUUAGAGCUACUGGUUUUUUAGCACCAUUGGCCUCUAGGCCACCCCCGAGUAUCUUACCUCCACGUUUUCGUGCUCACGAGUUCUGUGCAUUUCACCAGAUGGCAGGCCACCGUACUGAUUAUUGUGCUUCUCUACGUCAUACCAUACAGGAUCUUAUUGACAGUGGUGCAGUUAGCCUUCCCAUAUCGACCACAGAUGCUGAUCUUGGUCCAGAUAUGACUGCUGAUUCCUUUCCGGUUUAUUCCAUGCAUGCGGUCUCUCCUCCUUCGGGCUUAUACCAUCACGUUUUGGACACCCAGGGCACUGAUAUUCACAGGACACUUUGAUACCUUGUUGGUGUAUUUUGGGACUACCUUUUUAGUUGGUCGUUUGAGUUUUUGUUCUCUUUUGCUCUUUAUUUGAGUCUUGUUUUAUAGUUAGUAAUUCGUGUUCGUACCUUGUGUUUCGAGAGUAGACCUUAGUGUCUUAUUUUGUAUGAUGUACUCUCAUUUCGCUUAGUGGUAUUGUUGUUUUCUUGGGUAUGCGUUUCUAUCUUCUUUUUAUUAUUAUCAUUGUUUCUUAUCAUGCAUUUUAUGUGUUGUUAUUUUGGGUAGCAUCGUGUGUUGCUUUGUUUUUGUCUCUUGUAUUGUGUUUGUUUUAGAGUCUUGGACGGUUUUAGUGUCGUGACUGGUCCCCGAGCAGAGAUUGAUGGUAUGAUGAUUAUGAUACAGAGCACCUUGAGACUAGACUUCUUCAACUGAGGUUCACCAUGUCGGACGAGAUCACACCCAUUACUCUUACUGCUCUUUAUGAGAUGAUGGUGGAUUUGACGCGGAGGGUUGAGAGGAUUGAGCUUACUUUGUCAGAGCAUCCAUCAUCAUCGAGAGGAGCUCCAGGAGUAGCUAUGUCUUCAUUGCCACAUUUGACUCCAUCGAUGCUUGCUACUUUGGGUGCCUCACAUCCAUGGCCUCGCCCACAUUCAGUGUUUCAGCAGCAUUCCUCAUCCAUUUCAUUGGCUAUGCCGACACGACCUCCAUCCUGGCUUCAGGGCCCUCCAGUUAUUACAGUUCCUCAGGAGCGACUUCACCCUCGUCGACGGUGUCAGAGACGCUUUUCAGAUUUGAGCACACCCCUGAGCAGAGUUUUUGAGACGUUCCAGGCCAUGGGAUUUUUGGCUCCUCUGGCUCCUAGGGCACUUCCAGAUCCUGUGCCUCCACAGUUUCGACUCGACUUGUAUUGUACGUACCAUCAGUCAGCAGGACAUCACACUGAUUGUUGCACUGCUCUACGACAUGCCAUACAGGACAUUAUUGAUUCUAGGAUGUUUGGGCAUCCUCAGUCCGAUAUGUCUUCUAUUCCUACCUCAGCUCAGGCCACACAUGCAGACGCCCCUCCACCAGCAGUCCCUGAUCUUAUUGAUUUGGGCGAUUGACUUAUGAUUGGCUUACCUCGGUACAGUGGUGCUCAGUUUUUGUUCCUUCUGUGGCCAGAGAUGUGAUGAUCGGACCAGUCACUGUUUUUGUUUUGUUUUGUUUUGUUUGGUCUUGUUUUACUUUUGACAUUUAGAGACUAUAACUCGAUUCUCGAGUAUUGUCUUUGUUAUCCUUCUUUUGCAUGAUGUACUCAUCGGAUUAUCCCAUAGGAUGCAUUUUCCUUUAUGGACAUGUGUUUGUGUUUUGUGAUAUGAUGUGUUGUAUUUUUUUACUUGAGGCAUCUCUUCACUUGCACAUUAUGGUCUUGAGGCUUGACCUAUCAUGGAGGAUAUUAAGCCUAUUAGCCUAGGAUCAGAGAUUUGACUUAGGGAGUUCGAGACUGUGACACAUCUUCUUAUGAUCAGAGCAGUACCUUGCUCACUUCCCACACCUUGCUUUUGUUUUGACCUGCAUCCAUCCAUUAUGAGCUUUGCACAACAUCACCCUUGAGACCCUUAUAUGACAUUUUCAUCCUCGGUUUCUCUAGCUUUGCACAUCCCUUCUCUGAUUCGACCAGGUAGAGUGUGAGGAGUUUGAGCCCAAGGUUGAUCUGGCAUGGCGAGGGUUAGCUUGUGAUCUUUGGGUGGUUUACGAUAUGUGGAUUGGUCGAUUGCUUGGUGAGACUGUCACUUAUUUCGCCGUGAGUAUAGAGAUUGGUCUUGUAUGAUGAGAGUUGGCUCGUGAUGGGUAGUCGCGCCUGAUGGGAUCACUGUUUACUUUGCUUUGAGAGGAUCAUCUUUGAGAUUAUUAUGGAGCAUUUGGAGUACAGUUGAUACAUGAUCCUAGAGGGAAGUUCAGACCCAAUUGGAGCGGACCUUAUUUCAUCAGGAAGCUGACCCCAGAAGGCGUUGCAUGGUUGAUGGAUUUAGAUGGAAACCGAUUCUUAGAGCCGACUAAUGUAGAUCAGCUGAAGAAGUACUAUGUUUGAGACCAUGGUCGCAGGAUGGGUGGCUGUCAUUUUGGUUAGCCAUUACCUUGUUAUUCCUUUGUGAUACAUAGUCUGUUGCUAGCCCAUUGAGCCUCGCAUGCGCAUUAUAGCCUUUCUUUCUUAUCGCCUUGCUCACAUUUUCACACCGGGAUAGGGGCCCUUUAAUGUAUGCAUGCAUUGUUUGGUAGUUUCAUGAGCUUUGGACCUAUGGGCAUGUUUUUCUCAUUAUCUUUUCCUAUCACUGCACCUCUGUAUUUUCGUCUCAUCUUAUUGGUUAUGUUAUUCGUCUCUUCUUCCUUAUCUAAUCUACUAUUUGUUUGUCUCAUAUUCUCUCCACCCUGGGUGGUAAUCCCCUUCAGUUCAUCACAUGGAGGAUAGUCACAUCAUUUCCACCAUCUAUCUCGCGGACACUGGUUUAGAGAUCCUUAGUUUGAGAAGGUCAUCUUGUUAGAGAGAGUUUGUUUGUUACCUUAGCACUUGGGGGUGUGUCCAUUUGUUAUUGAUAUCAUCUUUGGGGUUUAUUUAUUCACAUUCAGGGCGCGUAUUUGUAUAUAUGUAAAAAAAAAAAAAAAAAAAAGUAAAAAAAAAGAAAAAAAAAAUCAUUAUUAUUAUUAUUAGCACAUGUGUGUAUGUGCAUAGUGUUCUCGAUCAUUGAGUAUGUAUAUAGAUGUUUGUGAUCAUUUUUAUCGAGUAUGUUCGUUAUUGGGAGUUCGUAUGUGAGCUCUCUGAGAUCCCAUGUUAUUUGUAUUGCUUCGUCAUAUCUAUUUGUGAGAGAGAUGAGUGACCUUCUCCUAAGGAUUCCGAGUCAUUUUCCUUUCCAUCAUUACAUUCAUUAUUGAUGUGACUUCACUUCAUGUUUGAUUUGAGUCGAUCGCCACCUUUCUUCACAUAUUCAUUGUUUCGCUGUCGUUUUUAUCGUUGCUUGUGAUUCAUCUCAUUCCCUUCACGUCUUAUUCUCUCCUUAUAGCGACCCCUCUCGGGUUCGAUGCUCACUUCACAUCAUCAUUACACAUAUCACUAUCAGUUCAUUUUGCUUCAUUUGUCUCCUUAUCGAUAUCACAUUCACGUUAGGCAUCCUCGGGUCCAUGGCUCAUGGGGUUCACUAUACAUGUUGCAUUUCAUAUAUGAGGGCAUGAGUUCUGAUCAUGGGGUAUUUGCGCCUAGUUUUCUUUCGUUUCUAUCACCCUAUCACCUUGGCCUACGUUACGUCCCGUGUCUUAAGACCACCCUGAGGCCAUGGGAUCAGAUGUCGUCUUCGGCAGCCUCUACUUGGACGGGUGAUUGAGAUCUGGUUGAUAUUUAGAUAUCGUCAUGCUUCUUCUUCUGGGAGUCGCCUCUUUGAUGUGUAGGACUGAUUCAGUUGUGUUCGGAUUACCGGGAUCAUGAGUUUGACGAUGAUUGACUUGGUGUCACCUGAUUUUUUUGACCUAUCGUACCUCUGGUGCCACAUUGCGACAUAUCCCAUUCCAUUUGGAGGUUUAUGGAUCCUCACAGAUUUGCACGUUCAUUAUCACUUACUGGAUGCUCACUAAGACAUGGACAUGAUCGUUACCUUACAGAGCCUCCGAGAUCCAUCCAGCUAGUUCCGCACUUCUCGAUGCUUGGAUGUCAUCAUGCCUCUCCAUCUGGGAGGACAUCUUGGAUAUAUGUGCACGAUUCAGUUAUGGAUUCGGAUGACUAGUGUUACAUGUGCGACGAUAGAUGAUUUCAUGACAUUUUUCCUUCGAACCUGUCGCGCACUUGAUGUUAUACUGGGGCAUAUUUUCCAUUUCAGAUGUGAUUUAUAGAUCUUCACUUAUGUCGCAUAAUCGAUGAUAGAUGAUUUCAUGUCGCCCGAUCUCUGACCUGCCAUACGUUCGAUGCCCAUACUGGGGCAUAUUUCCUUUUCGAUUGAGAUUUAUGGAUCUUCAUGGAGUUGCACGCUCAUCCCCACUUACGAGAUACACUUUGACACUAUGUUUCCUCCGUGGAGUCUCUCGGGAGUUACCCAGUUAGGCCUGCACCUCGCGACGCUUCGAUGUCAUCAUGCUUUCCUUCCGAGAGACGCCCCUUUGAUUUAUGGGUCUGUUUCAGUUGUACACGUGGAUGACUUGGAUCGCGCAUUCGAUGACGGGUGAUCUGGGCUCAUAUGGUUCUUUUGACUCAUCAUGCAUUGUGUUUGAUAGCUCUUAUGUGAGCGAUACUUGGGAUUGAUUCGAGAGCAUUUUGAUUGUGAUGGACCAGGAGUUAUGGUAGGACCCUACACUGGGGCAUAACCAUCUCAGAGAGUUCUUUUUCUAUUGGAUGACCAUUAUGUCGAGGCAUACUCUUCUCAGUCGAUGACGGAUUUUUGAGCCAUGUUCCUUGGAGGAUAUCAGAUGUCCUUUUUCACAUUGGAGCGUGAGACAUGAUUGGCGCGUUUCAUCUGGUGUACUUUACACAGGGGCAUACCCCUUUCGGUCCAUGAUGGUUUUUAGGCAUAGUUGUUCCUUGGAGGCGAUUAGAUUCAUUUCACAUUGGAGUACGAGAUAUGAUUGGGUGAUAUAUUUGAUGUGAUCACAGGAGCAUAGCCUUCUCAUCAUUGUUGACAUAUUUUUGAGAUGAUUGGAUCAGGACACGGACACUUAUGAGAGCAUGCAGCGGAGUUUAGUCAUUUCAGGGUUUGCCCUAUACUGGGGCAUAACCCUUUCAUUGGCGGUUGAUAUUAGAGAUAUCAGUUCACAUUGGGACAUGUUCUUUCUUUGGGGGAGGUCAGCUACUCUCUUCACAUUACCACGAUGGCUUUGAUGAGCAGAUGUUCAUUUUGAUCAGAUGAUGUAUGAUUGGUUGUACUCUUCUCAUGGAUGUUUGAUUUGGAGAUGCUUACACUGGGGCAUAGCCCACUCGUCUUGGUGAUGAUUUUGGUGAGAUGACAGUUUAUACCAGACACUUACUUUCCGGAGAUCAUUCUGCAUUGAGAGCUUACCCAUUCUGAGAUGAUGCAUUCAUACUGGGGCAUAGCCACCUUGCUGAUUUUGACAUUGAGACUCCACUUCUUGUUUAUGAUCGCUGCUCUCGAUGGAUUAUAGAGUUGUUGGCAUCCUGGGUUCAGUCUUCUCAGCAUACCUAGUUGGGUUUGGACAUUCACUUAUCUUUGUUACACACCCAUCCAUCCUACAUUGGACACCGUUAUACUUGCACCCAUCUUAUCAGAGCCUUACAUCUUUUGAGCCUACAUAUUUCAUCAUCUUACUUGACUAUUAUCCUUUUCUCUUGAUCGGAGGAAGAUACAGACCAGUCUCGAGCUUUCUGGUUGAGUUUUCACAUGCCUUUGGACAUUAGGUUCAACAUCUUCCGUGAUGGUAGGGCCUGUUAGAUUGUUGAUAUAUUUGUGAUGAUAUUCUUAUGUUGAUAGUUGACAUCGUAUCUUGAUUUGUUUAUAUUUCAGGUUUAGAGUCUUGGUCAGCAUUUGUUUGAUCCAUUAUUUUAGUUUUGCUUUGUCAGUAUGAUUUCAGUGAUGCUUGGACUUGUUUUAGCAUUUGUUCAUUGAGGCUAUGUAUGUGUUUUUUCAUUGCAUCAUCAUUGAGCAUAUCCUAGAGUGUCUUGUUUGGUGACAUUCUGUGUCUUAUCUUGGUUACUAUUUUUCACUAGGGGCAUAACCCCAUCCUCAGAUGUUUUGCAGACUUUUCUCGCUGCUCAUUCUAUUUCUUGAGCUUUGUGAGUUGUCACACUGGGGCAUACCCCCGUCCUUGAGUUCAUCGAUUCUCUUUUGCAGACUUUCUCGCUGCUCAUUAUAUCUCUUGACCUUUGUGAGUCGUCAUAUUGGGGCAUACCCCCUUUAGCGCUUUUCUACUGGGGCAUACCCCCCUCUAUUUGGGUUUACCGUGUCUCAUGUUGAUUUCAUGGUUGUCAGACCCAUUUGUCGAUCUUUAUGAGUUAUCGCCUAGGGCAUCCCCCUACCACCGUCUUGUUUAGGGCAUCCCCCUAUUGUCAUCUUUUUUAGGGCAUCUCCUUUCUUUCAAUUAUAUCACCACCAUGGAUUUUCAUCCUUGGGCUUUCAGAUUUGUCACCAUCAUAGAUUUUCAUCUAUGGGCAUUUCAGUUAUUUCACCACCAUAGAUUUUCAUCUAUGGGCUUUUUCAGAUUAUCACCAUCAUAGAUUUUCAUCUAUGAGCAUUUGUUUCAGACUCACCACCAUAGAUUUUCAUCUAUGGGCUUUUUCAUAUUAUCACCAUCAUAGAUUUUCAUCUAUGAGCAUUUGUUUCAGAUUCACCACCAUAGAUCAGACAUCUAUGGGCAUUUCGAUUAUUUCACCACCAUAGAUUUUCAUCUAUGGGCAUUUCAGUUAUUUCACCACCAUGGAUUUUCAUCCUUGGGCUUUCGGGAUUUUCACCCCCAUAGAUCUUCAUUUAUGGGCAUUUCAGGUUUAUCAUCACCAUAGAUCAGACAUCUAUGGGCUUUGAUCAGUUUUCACCACCAUGGAUUUUCAUCCUUGGGCUUUGAUCAGUUUUCACCACCAUAGAUUUUCAUCUAUGGGCUUUUCAGAUUUUCACCACCAUAGAUCAGACAUCUAUGGGCAUUUCAGAUUCACUAUCAUGGAUUUUCAUCUAUGAGCCUUUGUUUUAGUUAUCACCACCAUAGAUUUUCAUCUAUGAGCAUUUCAGUUAUUUCACCAUCAUAGAUUUUCAUCUAUGAGCCAUUUGUUUCAGUUAUCACCACCAUAGAUUUUCAUCUAUGGGCUUUUCAGAUUUUCACCACCAUAGAUCAGACAUCUAUGGGCAUUUCAGGUAUUCACCAUCAUGGAUUUUCAUCCAUGAGCCUUUGUUUUAGUUAUCACCACCAUAGAUUUUCAUCUAUGGGCAUUUCAGUUAUUUCACCAUCAUAGAUUUUCAUCUAUGAGCCCUUUGUUUCAGUCAUAUCACCACCAUAGAUUUUCAUCUAUGGGCAUUUCAAAUUCACCACCAUAGAUUUUCAUCUAUGGGCUUUUCAGUUAUUAUCACCACCAUAGAUUUUCAUCUAUGGGCAUUUCAGUUAUUUCACCACCAUGGAUUUUCAUCCUUGGGCUUUCGGGUUUAUCACCACCAUGGAUCAGCUAUCUAUGGGCUUUUCAGUUAUUAUCACCACCAUAGAUUUUCAUCUAUGGGCUUUUCAGUUAUUAUCACCGUCAUGGAUUUUCAUCCAUGAGCCUUUGUUUCAGUUAUCACCACCAUAGACUUUCAUCUAUGGGCAUUUCAGGUUUAUCAUCACCAUAUAUCAGACAUCUAUGGGCUUUGAUCAGUUUUCACCACCAUAGACUUUCGUCUGUGGGCUUUGUUUCAGUUAUUCACCACCAUAGAUCAGACAUCUAUGGGCUUUGAUCAGUUUUCACCACCAUAGAUCAGGCAUCUAUGGGCAUUUCAGUUAUUUCACCACCAUAGAUUUUCAUCUAUGUGCAUUUCAGUUUAUUUCACCAUCAUGGAUUUUCAUCUUUGGGCUUUCGGGAUUUUCACCACCAUAGAUUUUCAUCUAUGGGCAUUUCAGUUAUUUCACCACCAUGGAUUUUCAUCUUUAGGCUUUCGAGAUUAUCACCACCAUGGAUUGGCAUCUACGGGCAUUUUUACCAUAUCACCACCGUAGGUCUUCACCUAUGGGCCUUCUAGUUUAGCAUUUAGAGUUAGUUUUUUUUUUUUUUUUUUGGCUUCCAGAGCUGUUAUUUUCUCAGGGUAGCAUUUAGAGUUAGCUUUUUGGUUUGGCUUCCAAAGCUUUUAUUUUCCCAGUUUAGCGUUUAGAGUUAGUUUUUUUUUUUUUUGGCUUCCAGAGCUGUUAUUUUCUCAGUUUAGCAGUUUAGAGUUAGCUUUUUGGUUUGGCUUCCAAAGCUUUAUUUUCUAGUUUAGCGUUUAGAGUCAGUCUUGUCAUUCAGAGUCGUAGCUCCUAGCAUUCCUAUUCACUGGCAUUGCGCAUCUUACCUUCAGGGUUUUGCAUUCGUCCUCGGCUUUCCUCACUUCGUUACCCGGUGCUUAUCGCAUAUUCAUCUCGUACUCCAGGAUGGUUCGACUGUUACUCAUCUUUGACAUUGAUCUCUUGGGUCACUUUUGGAGACAUCUUAGAGAGAGUGUGGAUCCUUGGUGCAACCUUAGAGUCAUUUUGGGACAUCUUUUCUUUUAGGAUUAGAACCUUUAUGUUCAUCUAUUGACCUGAGUAAGUCCGUGUUUCAUUGGGUGUCCUUUUGGGGGUCUCCUUUGUUCUUCGAUAGAGCUCAUUUCAUCCCACUCAUUACUCACACUUGCUUUUCACUCCAGUGUUCACAUUCCUUACACUCAUGAGCUCUACCGAAGAGGGGCAUAUUUGUAGACCCCCUUUUAAUGGUGAGGACCCGGGGGGGUUUGUUUUUUUUUUGAAUUUUCAUUAUCUUGUUGGAGGGGUAGGGGACCCCCAGCUGAGUUUGGAUGUCGUCUGCAUGAGACGUGCAGAUGGAGAGGGGCAGAGACGCCAGCCGUGCUAGGGGUCAGAGACGCCAGCCUUGCUAGUGGUCAGAGAAGCCAGGCUGCUAACUGGUGAACAGGAACUGGAGGGUUGGCUUGCUGAAGAAGACACCAAUAGGGGGAUGAAAGAGGGAGGGACAGGAAAAAGGUGGAAAAAUCCAGAGAGAGGGGGGGUGAGCUUAUAGAGGAGGGAGCCGAGUAAGCACGGCGGAAGAAGUUCAGGUAUGGCCAACAUGGAUUUCUUUAUUUUGGUUCUCUUCAUUUUCCUUCUCUAUUAUUGCUGUUUUUUAGUAUAAUUUGUUGUUGAUCUCUUGGUUGCUGGGAUUUUGUUAUCGUUUGUCCUUGUCACAUUUUCUGGAGUUUUGUUUUGGGUAUGAACUGUCUCUGUUGCAGCUUUCCUAAAAUGUCUAAAUCAUGCCCGGGUCACUCACCAACGUUUAGGCACAUUGAUUGUAAUAUGAAACGUGGCUGUCUACUGGUUCAUUUUAUUUCAUUCUUUUGUGCUCUAUUUGUACUCUGUUUUCGAUGUUUUCCUUUGUUUCUGGACUGUUCAAAGUGUUGGAUAUCUCAGCUGGGUUGAUCAUUUUGGUUGGGAUAUUUAUGGGAGAGUCCCAUAAGAAGCUCAAUUCUCAUACAAACGAAAAUUUCUGGAUACCUGUAAGAUGUGUGAACCACAUUCAUUAAAUGUUGAGAGAUGCAGAAGGGAGAGCCCGGAUGAGGAUGGAGGAUGCAGUCGUCAUGUUAUGGGACCCUUACAGCACAACAAAUGCUUUGUAGCAACAGUCACCAAUCGGGACGGUGCACCAGUUACUUAAGGCGAGAAAGCCAGAGAUCCACAACGUUAUUGAUUGCACCGGUAGUGGAGAUUAUUUGAUAUCUCAACUAUGACGAAGGCUGAUUCAGGCGUUUGACCACAUGGAGCACCAUGUCGGCUGUAACAGGUGCGUCAAGGCAGCAACUUGCGAACCUCGGUUUGGCAGUGAUGGCGUGGGUUCAUAGCAAUCGAUCCAUACGUGGAGCAGAUUAUAUAUUAUGAAGAUAAGGCGAGCCAUUUGAAAUGAGGUCCUCGGUAUUUCCACUAGUGUUUUUUGGAUGUCAACUCUUGCAUGGGACUGCCAGACAUGUUAACUAUUUUUGAACCCAAGACCCAGCGUCCCAUGAAUCGCAUCAGGCGGCCAAAGGGCGUCGUAACCGGGUAUUCACAGGGGCAAGGUCCCCAAGCUGCAGUUUCAGUUUAGCGCUGGGUUUUCGGGCACUCCGAAUAAAACAAGACUGCCCAAGAACUUCACUUUAUUGGGUCUGGGGGCAGGCUACAUUUGUAACCAAACAACCAUCGAAGCUCCUUCACUUUCCCUCUCCUCUGAUGGCCGGUGAAAAACUUGCUAACAGGGAUGAGCGUGAUCUAUGCAUGAUUGGAGUUGGAAAUUGCUCCCAGUUGCAGUCUCCCUCUUUGCCAUAUAACCCCUUCUAUUUCACCCUUGUCGUUUCCCAUGAACUGGAAAUCCCGUGUACAGGGCUUUGCAUGGCCACCUCAAGCAUCUUCCAUGUGCUUAAUCCAUCUCCUCAUGCCGUUCACCCUCACCCAUCUUUCAUAACCUCCCAUGCACAUGCUCAUUUUCUGAAAACUCUUUCAAACCUAUCCCUACCACCUUCGCAUGGCCAUGCAUGGCCACUUCUAUUCACUUCUUCAUACCCAUCGUCAUCCCCUACAUCCAUCAAACCAUCCCACUAAGCCCAUCACUUCAGAUGAAUGAGCCUGCUUUGCACCCUCCAUCUGUAUUGCCACCCAUUAAAUCUGCUCCAGCAUCUGAAAUGACCAAACGUCACAUGCCUUUCAAACCCACCAAUCACACCCAUUUUCCAUACCCACUAAGCCCAUUUGCCAUGCAUGGUCACGUGACGCCCGCCACACUCAUUUCUUGCUCAGCAUACCCAUUUUCUCUCUCAAAUUUAUCCACUACAAGCUGCCACACCAUGGACUGUGAGACAUAGUUGAUGAUUUUGUGAAUCAGUUUGAGAGCUUUUGAAAGUAAGGGCCUUUAUUUUGUGCACAUGCAUGCUGGGACCCAUCUUUUUGAAAUCAUCAACCAAGUGGUAGAGGCUGUAGAGAAACGCAUAGAGGAAACAUGUAGGAGUAUUAUGGUGUGCUAUAAGGAUGAUGCCUCUUGAGCGAAAGAUAUUGCCCUGAGGAAGUUCAGGGAUAAAGACCUUUUGGGUGCAAAGAAAUUUGUAUCCUGGGUGUGAGGGUAUUUCUCAAAUGUUAACUAUGUUUGAUGUGUACAUCUCAGCUGAGAAGAAAGUGAGUGAAGGAGUGGAUUGGUAUGGGAUACUUAGCGUAAUCCCCUUGGCCGAUGAGGGAACUGUGAAGAAACAAUGCAGGGAGCUGGCUCUUAUGCUUUAUCCUAAUAAAAACAAGUCCACUGGUGCAGAUGGUACAUUUAAGUUUGUUUCAGAGGCUUGGAGUUUAUUAUCUAACAAGAGCAAGUAUUUGCUGAAUGUUUUCCACUGAUGGCAUUGCUUAAACAAAUUGGUGGAUAAAAGUCAAAGAUAUAGUUUUUUAUAUUAUUUUUUAUUCUUCAUUGGUGGCAUGGUUCCAGCAGGCUUCAAGGUGGCUUAUUAUUAUUUUUUCUCUUUUCUCCCACGUGCCAUCUUCUUAAUUCCACUUUACAUGUUAAGAUUUUCAUUUUUUUUGCAAAUUCAUUCAUUUAUUGAUUUAUUUUAUCUAUUUUAUUCAUUUAUUUUUUAUUUGUCUAUUUAUUUAUUUAUUUAUUAUUUUAUUUAAGAAUAUAUAUAUACACGUAUCAUUUCCAAAAUAAUCUCGUAAAAUGUGAUUUUUAAAUUUAUUUUACGAAACUUCAAAUCUAACAUUCAAUUUUCCAAAACUCCAAUAUUUUAAGUUCUAAAAAAAUUUUCAUUAUUCACGUUCAUUCAUUUAAAUAUUAUUCUCAUUAUUAUUAUUAUUAUUAUUUCGUUCAUUUAUUUUACAAAUUCCAAUAAUUAAAGUUCAAAUUUUUCAAAAUUCCGUUUUCCGAAUUUAAUUUUCAAUCUCAAAAAUUCCACUAUUCACAUUCAGCUGUUUAAUGAUUAUUUUCGUUAUUGUUAUUAUCUCGUUCAUUUAUUUAUUCACUUAUUCAUAUAUUUAAAAAUCUCAUCUCCAAAUAAUUUCUCAAAAUCUCAAUCUCUAAAUUCGAUCUCCCAUCUCUAAAAUUCUAUUUUUCGCAAUUAUUUACCUAAUCUUUAUUAUUUCAUCAUUAUUAUUAUUUCACUCAUUUGUUUAUUCACUUAUUUGUUUAUUAAAAUUCCGUAUUUAAAUAAUUUUUCAAAAUUCCGAUUCCCAAAUUUAGUUCUCUGAAAUCCCAAUUCCUUUCAAAUUUAAUUACUAAAAUUCUCAUUCUUAUAUUUAAUUUCUAAAAAUCUAAUUUUCAAAUAAUCUCUAAAACUCCAAUUUUCAAAUAAAUUUCAAAAAUCCAGUUUUCCCUUAAACAAUUUUAAUUUCUAUUUGGUGAUGCAUGCGGUAUGUUUUGUGUUCUUUAUUAUACACUGACCCUAUUUUUAUGAUAGUGCAUGGUGGUUCGUUGCCCAGGUAUGUACCCAUUUCCCCUCUAAUCGUUGUCUAUGCAUGUCUCGAUUCUCACAUGUGCGUGAUUUAUCCUGAGUGUUCAUUGAUUUACUCAUUCAUUGCCAUGAUUGCUUCAAUUUUAUUAGUAGAGACCCGACUUAGGGACUUAGAGGGGUGCUAUGGUCUUUACCGUACCUUCCUGAUAAGUAACCUGACCCCCGAACCCGAUUCGGUUUUUCACAGACCACCUUUUCCAAAACAAGGAGUCACAUUUAGGGUUUUUCUUUCUUAUUUUGUUUACCCUUUAGAAAUAAAACAAAAAUAAGUGGCGACUCCAAGUCAAUUUUUCUUAAUCAAUAAAGAUCAAUUUUUCAAAUUAAAAUCGAGCUCGCCAUCGAGUGGGAAAUGCAUGAGCCGAAAUGCGGGGUCCACACCUAUAUCCUUGUAAUCAAUAAUGGAUAUUUGAAGGACCUUUUGCCCAAGGUGUUGUAAAUUGUAAUGCAAUAUUCUCCCAAAAAUCAGACCGAUAAAUUUUGAGUUGAAAACUGGGACGAAAGAAGUGAAACUUUACAAUCACGUGUAUGUACAAAAAGUUGUAAUGUCAUUUUCAAACUAUCUUGAUCCCGCCCAUUGACAGCCUAUCACCCGCCUACUUUCCUUUUUCUAUUUUUUUAUUUUGGCUUUGGUAAGGACAAGGAAUCUUUACUGUUUCCAGCCCGGUUGUAUACUUGCUCGCAGCUUUAUGUCUGGCUCUGGAAGGACGAUUCAGUAAAAGAAAAAAAAUUGUUUUCUUGUUUGCUUUUUGUAACUUGUAAGUGAAGUUUCUUAGAUAAAUUAAGCUAAGACGUAAUUAUAUACUUUAUUUUGUUUUGAAAAAUUAUUAUCAUAUGAUAAAUGUUUGUUGUACUUUUUGUAAGUCAUUUUCAAAAUUUUCUUAUAGUAAUCAAAAUUAUUAUUUUUUAUUUUUCUAAUAAUACAAAUAUUCAUAUAUCAUUUUACCAUAAAUGUCUAUGUAUUUUUUUUUCAAAAAAAUAUUGAUUUAUUAUCAUUUUUCCCUUUUAUAAUGAAUUUUUAUGUUUUUGUAAUUUAUUAAAAUUAAAAGCGUUUUUAUGUUAUGUGAUUAUACUAUCAAAAUCACUUUCACUAUUUUCAUAAAAGUUUUACGUAUAAAAACAUUAUAGAUUAAAAGUCCUAUCAAACAUAUGAUUUAAUGCGAUGGAUAGUAAUUUUUUAAAAGUACUAUCAAACAUAUGAUUUAAUGUGAUGGAUAGUAGUUUUAGAAAGUGUUAUUUUUAAAAAAAGUGUUAUUUUUCUUUUGUUUAUUAAAAAAGUUAAAAAUAUUUGUCAAAUUAUUAUCAAACACACCGUUAAUUUAUAAUAUUUUAAAAAACAUGUCAAAUAUAGGAUUUAUUUUAUAAUUGUUUACAAGAACAACUUUUUAUUAUUCAAAAUAAAAAAAUAUCUUUGAUAGCUAAAAACUAUUUUUUGUUUUCUCUUCUUAAGAAUAAAAAAUAAGAUGUUUUCAAAUAACAUCUCUUAAUUGUUUUCAUUUAUUUUUUUACAGUUGUUUUAAAAAAUAAUUAUACAAGUAUAUAAAAUAAUUAAAAAUAAAGCUCUAUUUUAAAAAUAUAUUCAAAAAUAUUAAAAACAAGAUAAAAACAUUUAUAGUUUCAAACAAACUUUUAUUCUACAAGUCAUUAGAAAAUAGUUUUUAAAAAUUAUUUUUUAAAACUAUUUUUAAAAAACAGUUAUCAAACAUGACUAUAAUUUUUAAGAAUGAUUUUUAGAAAUAGUUCUAAAUUAUUUUCAAAAAUAAAAUCAUAUUUCAAAACUCAAAUAUGAAAAAUGAAAAUUUUCCCAUCUUGUUUAUGAAGGUACUAUGUAGUAACGUAUAAUACAAAGGUUUUCAAAAAUAUUUUUAAUAUUAUGAAUUGUUGCCAUGAGCAUUCUACAAAACAAUUAAAAAUAUCUAAAUUCUAUUCUAAAAAACAACUUAUUUUUAAAGAAAUUUUCAAAAAAUUAUUUUUUAUCAAAAGUUUAUCAAAUAUGUGUUUUUGAAUUAAAAAAUUGUUUUCAGGAAUAGUUUUCAAACAACACCUUAAUAUUUAAAUAUAAAUAAAAAAAAAUGUUAUGAUAAUAUUUUUUUAUCAUGUAUUAUAAAAUAAAAUAAAAAAUGAUUUUUGAAAGAAUUAUCACUUAAAUGAUUGUUCAAAAUUAUUUUUAAGUGAUUCUUUAGAUUUUAAAGCAAUGUUUAAUAAUUUAUCAAAUAUGUACUUUUUUUACAGGAAUGUGCUUUCAAGCAUUAAAGCCGCUUUUAAUAUCAGUCCGAAGCGAUAAAAUAAUUUUGGGCCCCCCGAAUUUAAAUUUGAAUUAUUGGUAGAUCUUUCAUGUGGGUGGUAACAAAAAUGAAGUGAAUGGUUGGGCGGUGAAUAUUUAGAAGCAAAAAUAAACUAAACCAGGUGUGUGUUUCAAGUAGAACGGGUGUCCUCAUACAUGUGGCUGACCUUACAACGAAAAUAUGGGGUUGAUGCGAUUAAUAUCUAUUAAUUAAUUAGAUUUAAUAAAAUAUUUAGAUAAGUCUUAUCAAUUGCUUAAUGCGAAGUAAUCAAAUUAUUAUUAUGUUAAAAUUAAAAAAGAAUAAAAGUGAAAAAUUAGUAUUUGUUUGCAUCCAUUUUUUAAAGAUUUAUAUUGAAAAUGUAAUGAUUUUUUAAAUUUGAUUAAAUUUUUUUUAAUUGUUUUAAAGAAUAAAAUUCUAUUUAUGACCAAAAAUAGUUUUUUUUAACUUACUUUUAAAAAACGCCAUCUCCCCUUUUUUCUUUGUUCACUUCAAGUGGGUUUUUAUCGUGCUCAGACAUUAUCUCACAAUAUAAUAAUUGAUGUUGGAAUGAGUGUUUGAUAAAUUAGUGUAGACCCCCCCUGAGGCUGCGAAGCAGGGAGGAGUUUCUUUGCUUUUUUCUUUUUUUUUUCUCAGGCGGCUGAUGGGAAGUUGGCUCGGGCAGAGAAGUGCGGCUGAUGGGAGAGGCAGCAGAGAGGCUUGCGGGGGAAGCCAAAGAAAAAGAAGAGGAGAAAAGGAAGAGGGAAAAGAGGAUCAAGAAAGAAAAGGAAGCAGAGGACAUCACUUUCAGUUGGAGGGCUCAGGUAUGGCCAUCUCCUCAAUUUUGGGUCUUUCUUUUUUGCUAUUUUUACUCAGUUCAUGUUGUGAAUCUAUUCUUCUCUGUCAUUGGGCUUGUUGAUUAUUGCUUUGGCACCUUUCUCUCCGAACCUCAUGCUCGUCCCUGCCUCACCCACGUCCCAUGCAUGGCCGUCACCCUCACCUAUCUUCCUCAUCACCUCUUUCUCCCUCUAAUCGUCGUACCCGACUCCACAAGGACACCCAAAGUCGCUCUUCUGCACACAUGGAGUCCAAGCAAGCCUGCUGCCCCUCCCCGCAUCUCUUUGUUGUGCGCACCGCGCCGGCGAGGCGCUUGCUCGUCUCACCAGCCGCUUGCUCGCCGCUAGCCGCCAUCACCCGCUCCGGUUACGCGCACAUCUGCUCUUGCUCCGGGACCACGCCGCCGCUGCCAUCGCUCCGGGACUACGCCGCCGCUGCCAUUGCCCGCGACAGCGCCGCCACUGCCAUUGCCCGCGGCAGCGCCACCGCUGCCAUAGCCCGCGGCAGCGCCGCCGUCUUCGCCUGGAAGGGCGAGAUCCUCCCGAGGCCCAGGAGCUGUCCACCAAGCCUGGAGAAUCCGUGGCCCCGAGCACCGUCGCCGCUGCCGCCGCGGGGAGGUGACGAAGGUGCAGCAGCCAGACGCCAGGGGGGGGGGGGGAGGGAAGCUAGGAAGAAGGUGAAGUCUUGGUUUUUGGGCUUGGGCUAAGGCUAGGCCCAGUUUUGUGUUUGGUUUUGGCUUUGGGGCUCAGGCUUGAGUUGGAGGCACUAGGCCCAGAUUUGUGAUGGGUGUUUGCAUUGGGUUUGCUUAUGAAGGCUUUGGGCUUGGGUUUGAAUUUGGAGCCCAGGCCCAAGCCUAUGCUGAAGAUGGGGCCUUUGUCUUGAGCCCAUUUCUAUUAUUAUUAUUAUUAAUUAUUAUUAUCAUUGCUAUUAUUAUUAUUAUUAUUAUUGUUAUUAUUAUUGUUACUAUUAUUAUUAAUUAUUAUUAUCAUUAUAUUUAUCAUCAUUGUUAUUAUUAUUAUUAUUAUUAUUAAUUAUUAUUAUCAUUGUUAUUAUCAUUAUUAUCAAUUUAUAUUUAUCAUCAUUGUUAUUGUUAUUAUUAUUAUUAUUAUUAAUUAUUAUUAUCAUUGUUAUUAUCAUUAUUAUCAAUUUUUAUUAUCAUUGUUAUUAUUGUUAUUAUUAUUGUUAUCAUUGUUGCUAGUAUUACUAUUGUUAUUAUCAUUAUUCUUGUCAUUAUUAUUAUUAUUAUCAUUAUUAUCAAUUCACACUUUCAACAUCUAUUUAUUAUUAUUAUUAUCACCAUUAAUCCAAACUUUCAAAAAUCUCAUCAUUAUUAUUACCAUUAAUUCAACUUUCAAAAUCUAUUUAUUAUUGUUUAUUAUUAUCAUUAAUCCAAACCUCCAAAAUCUCAUCAUUAUCAUUAUUAUUAAUUCACACUAUCAACAUCUAUUUAUUACUAUUAUUAUUAUCAUCAUUAAUCCAAACUUUCAAAAACCUUAUUAUUAUCAUUGUUAUUAAUUCACACUUUCAUCACCUAUUUACUAUUAUUCUUAUCAUCAUCAAUCCAAACUUUUCAAAAAUCUCAUUAUUAUUAUUAUUAUUAACUCAACUUUCAAAUUUAUUAUUAUCAUUAAUCCAAACUUUUCAAAAAUCUCAUUAUUAUUAUUAUUAUUAACUCAACUUUCAAAACCCAUUUAUUAUUAUCAUUAAUCCAAACUUCCAUAAUCUUAUUAUUAUUAUUAUUAUUAACUCAACUUUCAUCACUCAUCUAUCAUUAAUCCAAACUUUCAAAAACCUUAUUAUUAUCAUUGUUAUUAAUUCACACUUUCAUCACUUAUUUACUAUUAUUCUUAUCAUCAUCAAUCCAAACUUUUCAAAAUUCUCAUUAUUAUUAUUAUUAUUAAUUCAACUUUCAAAACCUUAUUAUUAUUAUUAUUAUUAUUAUUCAAAAAUCUUAUUAUUAUUAUUAUUAUUAUUGUUGUUGUUAUUAUUAUUAUUAAUUCAACUUUCAAAAUCUUGUUAUCAUUAUUAUUAUUAUUAUUAUUUCGAAACCUCCUUGUUAUUAUUUUCAUUAUUAUUAUUAUUAUUAUUAUUAAAAAUCUAUAUCCUUGUAAUUUAAUUUCCUAAAGUUCGUUUCUUAUUAUUAUUAUCAUUAUUAAAAAUCUAUACUCUAGCCGUUCAAUUUCCUGAAGUUCAUUUCUUAUUACUAUUAUUCAAAAAUCUUAUUAUUAUUAUUAUCAAAAAUCUAUAUUCUAGCAGUUCAAUUUCCUAAAGUUCGUUUCUCAUUUUCUUUAACAAAUUUCGAUUUAAUCACCGGAGCUCUAAUCUUCAAAAUUUAAUUCCAAAUACUCCAAUUUUCAAAUAAGCUCCAAUAAUCCAGUUUUCACUCGAAUAGUUUUUAAUCACAUUUCAGUUCCUAAAUAAUCUUCUGAUCUUCUUGACUUUACAUAAGCAAUAGUGAUUCCUUCAUAAUUCCAAAACACGGGAUUUGUGGGAUUAGCUCAUGAACAAUAAAUCGAGCUUUGUUGGGGGCCCUAUGUUUGACCCCUUUUGACUGUCAAUUAUCGUGCUUACUGUAUUUUGCUUGAGCUUCGCUUUGCACUCCGAUAUGUAUGAGCUAUGUUUUGUAUUCAUUAAUUGUGCACUAAUCCCGUUUCUUGAUAGCGCGUUGUUGUUUGCUGCCCAGGUACGCAUUCACUCAUUCUGAUCAUUCACUAUACAUGUUCUGAUUCUCAUAUAUGCAUGAUUGAUGUGAGUAUCCAUUGACUUUCUUAUUCGAUUGCCACGUCAGUUUCACUUUAUUAGUAGAGACCCGACUUUAGGGACUUAGAGGGGUGCUACAGUCUCUACCGUACCUUCCCAAUAAGUAACCUGACCCCCGAACCUGAUCCGGUUUUUUCACAAACCACAUUUUCCAAAACAAGGAGUCACACUUAGGGUUUUUCUUUCUUAUUUUGUUUACCCUUUAAAAAUAAAAAUAAAACAAAAAUAAGUGGCGACUCCAAGUCAAUUUUUCUUAAUCAAUAAAGAUCAAUUUGAAUUUCAAAUUAAAAUCGAGCUUGCCAUCGAGUGGGAAACGCAUUGAGCCGAAAUGCGGGGUCCACAAUUAGUUUAAUGACUUAUUUAAUAAUUUAAUUUAAAUUAUUAAGUAAAUUAAGCAUAUUUAAUAAAUUAAUUUAAUAAUAUAACUUAAAAUAAAAAAAUAAAUUUAAAUAAUAAAUAAAAAUGAUUAAUUUAUUUUUAAGUCUAUAUCUUUAUUUUAUUUUUAAAAUUUUAUUUAUUAUAGUUAUCAUCACGAUCAAUUCUAAUAUUUUAUGACCUUUAUUGUUAUUUGACUUUUUUUAUUAUAAUUAUAAUUUAUGAAGAUAAAAAUAUUAAUUUGAAAAUUUAAGAUAAAUUUUAAGUUAAUUUUAUAAAAAAAAACUUUAAUACUUUAAAGUAAAAAUUAAGAAAAAAAAAAAGUUUUAAGUUAAUAUUUUAAAUAUAGAUUAAUUUAAAAUUAGGUUAAGUGAUUAAAUAAUAAAUAUUAAGUUUUUAGGAAAUAGCCUGGAAUUGUAGUGGUCCCUCGUGGAUAAAGAAAUAGGCCAAGUUGAAAUAUGGGACAAAGACUUAUGAGGUCUAAGUGGGAAUAUUCGUGGGGAGAUUCCAAUCAUUCCAUUGGGUGGAUGAGAAAAGGAGACAACCUCACAUUGGAUUUUGUCGUUUUGAAACUAUUCAAGCUCACGCUACUCCCAUCAACCAUGUGGCCUGAGUAAGGGUCUCCAACGGCCGGGCCGGGCCGGGCCGAGCUAAAAUGCUAGGCCCGCGGCCCGGCCUAUGAGCCCGCGGGCUAGCGGGCUGGCGGGCUGGGCGGGCCGGGCCGACGGGCCGGGCCGCGGGCUUUUUUAAAUAAGCCAAAAUGGCUUUUAAAUAAAGGAAGGAAGAGGGGGGGAUUCGAACCCCUCCCCUCAAGCUUAAAUUUCAAGGCUCUAACCAACUGAGCUACAUUUCUUUUGUGCUUAUUAAAUGAGUUAAUUAUAUAUAUAUAAAAAUAUAGUAUAUUAUUUUUUUUAAAAAAAUUAAAGGCGGGCCUAAGGGCGGGCCUACGGGCCAAGGCUACGGGCCGGGCCUAAAUUUAGGCCCGCGGCCCGGCCCGCCCAUAAACGGGCUCGGGCCGGGCUUGGGCCCAGCGGGCUUAGGCCGGGCUUUAGCCCGUCGGGCCGGGCCGGGCCUAAAGCGGACCGCGGGCUUUUUGGAGACCCCUAGGCCUGAGCAUGGUGUUUCCUAUAAUUGAGGUGACUCAAUAAUUAUUUCACCAAAUUCUGAUGGUGGCUGCCAGCUCUAAAAGCCAAGUCACCCACAAUUAAUUAUAAAAUUAAAGAGAUGGAAAUUCAUUCUCAUAAAGCAAUCCACGUGUCAACUCUGAUCUUUCUCCGACCGGCUUCCUACUUCUCUCUCAUUCUCUCUCUUCAUUCACCUUACCUGUCUCCCAUGGUGGGACCAUGUAAAUUAUUUCCUAACCACAAACGUGCUAAUAUUUCCACUAAUUAUUUUUCUCCCAAAAACCACACCUAGUAAAUUAAAUAUUGAAAAUCAAUAAUUAAAAAUUAUUAUUAUUAUAUUUUUUAAUAAAUAUUUUUUAAAUACCUCAUAAUUUUUUUUUCAAACUUACAAAAUAUAUAAUAAAUAUUUUUUAAACACCUUAAAAAAUGUUAUUAUUCUUUUUUUAUCUAAUAUAUAUACAUAUAUACACACACGUAAAAGCUAAUUUUUAUAUAAAUAUAUUUCAGGUUAUGGAUAAUUAUUUGAAUAUUUUCUCUAUUUUAUGAAUAAUACAGAGAUUGUCUUAAUAUAUUAUUUUGUAGCAUGAUCAUCUGGUGAUAAUUUUAAAUUUUAAAUGUAUUAUAAUUUAAUAAUUUGAAAAAUAUUAUAAUACUCUUUUAAAUCUAAAAUAAAUGUGAACUUGGCAUUGUUUAAAUUAUUAAAAUACAAUGUCAUCAAGUCAAACAAAUGUAUCAUAUUAAAAUAUGUGCAUGUAAUUAUAUCAUAAAUUUCUCUUAUUUUUUUCCUCAUACAUGAUAUCUUUUGUAUAAAGUUUUAUAAAUGAAAAAUGACAAAAUCUUUUGUUACAUAAAGAGGUUUAGAAACACAUUAAAAUAAAAAAGAGAAUAUAAUGGAGUACAAAUUAGAUGAAAAUCACCUUAAAUAGGGAUAUAAUAUAAAACAUGAAAAUAUAAGAAAAAAACAAGUUGAGAUGAAAUUUAAGAUAAAGAAUCAAAGAAAAUAAAUUAUAAAUAAUCUAUUUAUAAAUAUGAAAAUAUUUUAGUUGGAUAUUUAAAAUUAAAACUCACCAUCCAUCCUCUUUCUCUCUUUUUCUUUUUCUUAUUUUAAUAAAUUUUCAAUUAAUUCAAAUCGCUAAAAAAAUUCAUUAAUAAACAAAUUUACAACAUUUCAUAUAGCUUAUUACCAAAAGUCUAUAUUUUAAAAAUUAUUAAAAUAAGAAAGGAAGAAGAUUAAAAAUAAAAUAAACUUUUUAUUCUAUAAUAGUAAAAAUAAAUAAAUUUUAAAAUAUUUUUUAGUAUAAAAGAAAAAAAAGUAGUAAAUAUAUUUAUUUUAAAUAGUAUUUUAAUCAUUAAAUUAUUUACUUAUAAAAUUUAAAAGAUAAUUUUUAUUCAUUUAAAUUAAUAUUUUUUUCAAAAGUAUUUUUUAAAAUAGUUUUUGAAUUAUUAAUAUAAUUUUUGUUUAUUUAUAAUUUAAAAAUAGAAAAUAAUGUCGAUUUUUUAAUUAUUUUAAAAAGAGUUUAAAAAAAUAUUGAAAAAUAAAAAAAAAUUAAAUAAAAGAGAAUUUUAUAAAAGUGGGUGUGAAGAAUGAUGGUAUAAAAAUAAUGGGUUUAAGUCAGGGAUAUUUUUGUCCAUUCCUACCUCAAAUCCUUUUUAUUUGGAGUACUUUUUAUCAAUUAUCAAGUGCGAUAUAAUGCACAAUUCUCCAAAAAAAAAUCAGACCCAUUGACAGCCUGUCGCCUCCUAUUUUGAAUUGUUUUCCGUCUACUUCAAUUUUGAGUUGAAAACUAGGAAGAAAGAGGUGAAACUUUACAAUCACAUGUCAUGUCAUUUUCAAACUAUCUUGAUCCCACCACCUAUUGACAGCCUGUUGCCUCCCAUUUUGAAUGGUUGUUCGUCUUACUUCCUUUUUCUAUUUUAUUUUUUUUAUUCAGGUCAAGGACAAGGAAUCUUUACUGUUUCGAGCCUAGUUGUAUACUUGCUGAGAGCUUUAUGUCGAGCCGGUUCUAUUUUUUUUUAUAUAUACUUUUUUUGCUUUGAAUAAUUAUUAUCUUAUAAUAAAUGUUUUUUGUACUUUUUGUAAGUAAUUUUCAAAAUUUUCUUGUAGUAAUCAAAAUUAUUAUAUUUUUAUUUUUCUAAUCAUAUAAAUAUUUAUAUAUCAUUUUAUCAUAAAUGUCUAUCUAUUUUUUUUUUGGAAAAAGUAUCGGUUUAUCAUAAUUUAUCCCUUUUACAAUGAAUUUUUAUGUUUUUCUUAAUAAUUUAUUAAUAUUAAAAACGUUUUUAUGUUAUAUGAUGUAUUAUAAAAAAUACUAUCAAAAUCACUUUCACUAAUCUUGUAAAAGUGUUACCGAUAAAAACACUAUAAAUUAAAAGUACUUUUAUGAUAAUCACUAUUAAAUAUAUGAUUUGAAUAUGGUAGUAAUUUUAGAAAGUGUUUAUAAUAUUUUUAGUAUUUGAAUAAUUUCAUUUUUCUAACAUGAAAAAAUUAGAAAUACUUUCUUAAAUCAAUCUCAAAUACAUUGUUAUUUUGACAAUAUUUUCAAAAACAAAUGUUAAAUAUAACAUUUAUUUGAUAAUUGUUUUCAAAAACAAUUUUCUAUUAUAAAAAAAAAAACAACAAAAAAAUACAUUUGAUAAUUAAAAAUUAUUUUCUAUUUUACCUUCUUAAGAAUAAAAAAUAAAAUAUUUUUGGAUAACAUCUUGUAAUUGUUUUCUAUUGUUUUCAUUUAUUUUUGGACAAUUGUUUAAAAAAAUAAUCAUACAAGCAUAUAAAAUGACUAAAAAUAAAGUUCUAUUUUAAAAAUAUAUUAAAAACAAGUAAAAAAUAAUAAAAGUGAAAAAUUAGUAUUUGUUUGCAUCCAUUUUGUAAAGAUUUAUAUUGAAAAUGUAAUGAUUUUUAAAAUAUGAUUAAAAAAAUUAAGAAAUAAUUUUUUAUUAUUUCAAAUUUUAAAAUUUCAAAGUGAUUUUUAAGAAUAUAAGAUAAAUCUAGUUUUCUUUCUUUCUUUUUAUUUUUAUUUUUUUUAUAAGAAACUUUAUUUUUAAUAUGGAAGUUUCUAUUCUUAAAAAUAAAGAAGACGUGUAAUGUACCAAGCAGGCCAUGGGAGACUUUCUUUCAUAUUUUGAUGGUUAUGCUAAUAAUUGUCAAUCCCUGGACUUCAAGAUGAAAGAUUAGUACUCUUUGAUAAUGUUUUUAAAAUUUUAAUUGUUUUAAAGAAUAAAAUUCUGUUUAUGACCUUAAUUAUAAAAAAAAUGGUUUUUUAACUUAAUUUUUUAAUAAAAAUAUUGUAUAUUUAUAUAUAUUUUAAAAGUUGUCAUUUUAUUUAUUAUAUUUUUAAUUGGAAAUAAGUUUGGGUAUUCAAGUAGGUUGACCAGACCUAAUCCAAUUAAAAAAUAAUAAUAACGAAAAGAACCGUUUCUGAAAAUAUUUUAUGCCUUUAAAAAAAUAUAAUUUUUGAAAUGUCAUCUCUUUUUUUUCUUUGUCCACUUCAAGUGGGCUUUUAUAGUGCAGAUAUUAAGUAUAGGUUAUAAUUUAUUUUGAUUAUAAUUUAUGAAAAUAAAAAUAUUAAUUUAAUGAUUUAAAAUAAAUUUUAAAUUAAUUUUAUAAAAAAAUUUUAAUACUUAAAAGUAAAAAUUAAGAAAAAAAAAAUUUAAACCAAUAUUUUAAGUAUAGAUUAAUUUAAAGUUAGGUAAAGUGAUUAAAUAAUAAAUAUUAAGUUUUUAGGAAAUAGCCUGGAAUUAUAGUGGUCCCUCGUGGAUAAAGAAAUAGGAGGCCAAGUUGAAAUAUGGGACAAAGAUUUAUGAGGUCUAAGUGGGAAUAUUCGUGUGGAGAUUCCAAUCAUUCCAUUGGGUGGAUGAGAAAAGGAGACAUCCUCACAUUGGAUUUUGUCGUAUUGAAACUAUUCACACUCACGCUACUCCCAUCAACCAUGUGACCUGAGCUUGGUGUUUCCUAUAAUUGAGGUCUCAUUUCCUUAAUAAUUACUUCACCAAAUUCUGAUGGUGGUUGGCAGCUCUAUCCGCCAAGUCACCCACAAUUAAUUAUAAAAUUAAAGAAAUGGAAAUCCACUCUCAUAAACGAUCCACGUGUCAACUCUCCUUUUGUGUCGACCGCCUGAUGAAUUUCCAGACCCUCAAAACACACGUGGAAGUUUUCGAGUUUGAAUAGUUUCAAUACGACAAAAUCCAAUGUGAGGCUGUCUCCUUUUCUCAUCCACCCAAUGGAAUGAUUGGAAUCUCCACAUGAAUAUUCCCACGAGAAAGAGUCCUAGGAAUAGACCCUUAUGCCAAUCAUGGGCUAAACCCGAAACUUAGACAAUCAGUUAUAUACGAUUCAACGGAAAUUCAACAAGAUAACCCCGAAACGAGGCAACCCCUCCAUGGUGAAAACUCUGACCCCAGCAUCCGACAUUAAGGUACAGUGAGGAUGAGAGAAUAAAUCAGUUUUUUUCAAUCAAACCAAACAGUUAUCCAUUUAAUUUAUAUAUUAUUAAAGCUAAAAAUAAUUAUAGGAAGCUAAAAUUUAUAUAAUAUAUAAACAAAUUUAAAUUAAUAAAUUUAUUUUUAUAUUAUUAAAUUAAAUCACACAUAAUUAUAAAUAUAUUAAUAUUUAUAAUUUAUUAAAUAAAAUUUAUAUAAUAUGUAAAUGUGAAAAUAAAAAAUUAUUAUUUAAUUUUGACUAUGUAUUAGAGGUUGUAUAUCCUAAUUCUAUAAUUUAAAAAAAUUACAUUAUUUUAUUCAUAUUAUUUACAUAUUUAUUAUUAUAAAAUUUUAAGAGAAUCAUUUUUCUAGUUUUUGUUUGUGACAUGUAAUCACUUAGGGGAAUGGUUCCCAUCCAAUGUCUUGAAUUACCAGGUUCAACUCUACUUUGUUUUAUCACUUAAGGACAAACUAAUGUCAUUAAUUUAAAUUAAAAUUUAAACGUAAUAUCAUCUAUCCCUGCGUAGGAAUAAGCUAAGAUAUAAUUAAAAUUAAAACGUAAUAUCAUAUAAUUAAAAUUAAAAUUUAAUUAUAUAAUUAAGCUAAGAUAUAAUUAUAUACUUUAUUUUACUCUGAAAAAUGAUUAUCUUAUCGUAAACAUCAUAAAUGUUUGUUGUACUUUUGUAAGUAAUUUUCAUAUUAAAUAAAUAAACUACUAAAUAGAUAAGUUAACAAAUUUUUUAGAAAUCCUUAAGUGACACAAUCUAUAGAAAAUUAUGAGGACACCAUUUUAUACUUGUUACGUUUUAUUAAAUUUUUUAAAGUUUAUUAAUUUUUAGGUUUUUUCUAUUCGUGAAAAUUUUAAAGGAAAGAAAUAAAGAGUAAAAAUAGGAAUAAAUAAAAAAUAAUAAUUAUUUUUAUAUAUUAUUUCACACAUGUGUAAUUGAAUUUUAACUUUUUAUAUAACAAUUAAAUAAUUCUAAAAUAUAUUAGUUUUUAAUAAAUUUUAAUUGUAUUUAUUUUUCUAUUACAUUUUUUUAUGUUAAAAUCAAAUAUUAAAAAUAUUUUUUAUUGGUUUUCCAAAAGUGUAUUAGAGUGUGUUUGAUAAUAUUUUAAUUUGAAAUGUUUUUAUAGAAGUGUUUUUACAAGAAUAACUUAUUAAAUAUUUCUUUAAAAAAUAUUAUAAGUGAUUUUUUUUAAUAUUAUAAAUGAUUUUUUUAAUUUUUUAAAAGUGUUUCCAAAAUUUUGAAAAAUAUUUAUUUAUUUAUUUAUUUCAAAAACACUUUUUAUGCUAGAAACAUUUUUAUGCUAAAAUAUAAAAUAUAAUUUUUAUUCAUUUAAAUUAAUAUAUUUUUUUCAAAAGUAUUUUUUAAACUAGUUUUUAAAUCAUUAAUAUAAUUUUUGUUUAUUUAUAAUUUAAAAAUAAAAAAUAAUGCCAAAUUUUCAAUUAUUUUUCAAAGAGUUUAAAAAAUAAUAAAAAAUAAUUAAAUAAGGGAGAAUUUUAUAAAAGUGGCAUAAAAAAGAGGGGUAUAAAAACAAAAAUAAUGGGUAGAAGUUAAAGGGGUGUUUUUGUCUAUUCCACACAUAUCCUAUAUCUUGUAAUCAAUAAUGGAUAUUUGAAGGACCUUUUGCCCAAGGUGAUGUAAUGCAAUAUUCUCCCAAAAAUCAGACCAAUAAAUUUUGAGUUGAAAACUGUGAUGAAAGAGGUGAAACUUUACAAUCACAUGUCAUGUCAUUUUCAAACUAUCUUGAUCCCACCCAUUGACAGCCUGUCACCCGCCUACUUAAGAAUAAAAAAUAAAUAAGAUGUAUUAGUUGUUUUCAUUUAUUUUUUGACAGUUAUUUUAAAAAAUAAUUAUAUAAAUAUAUAAAAUAAUUAAAAAUAGAGCUCUAUUUUAAAAAUAUAUUCAAAAAUAUUAAAAAUAAGUUAAAAACAUUUAUAGUUCCAAACAAACUUUUAUUCUACAAAUCAUUAAAAAAUGGUUUUCAAAAAUCAUUUUUUAAAACUAUUUAAAAAAAAACAGUUAUCAAACAUUACUAUAAUUUUUAAGAAUGAUUUUUAGAAAUAGUUCUAAAUUUUUUUCAAAAAUAAAAUUAUAUUUCGAAACUCAAAUAUGAAAAAUGAAAUUUUCCCAUCUUGUUUAUGUAUAAUACAAAUAUUUUCAAAAAUAUUUUUAAUAUUAUGAAUUAUUGCCACGAGCAUUCUACAAAGCAAUUAAAAAUAUCUAAAAUCUAUUCUAAAAAACAACUUAUUUUUAAAGAAAUUCUCAAAAAAUUAUUUUUUAUCAAAAGUUUAUCAAAUAUGUGUUUUUGAAUUAAAAAAUUGUUUUCAGGAAUAGUUUUCAAACUACACCUUAAUAUUUAAAUAUAAAUAAAAAAUUGUUAUGAUAAUAUUUUUUAUCGUGUAUUAUAAAAUAAAAUAAAUGAUUUUUGAAAGAAUUAUCACUUAAAUAAUUGUUCAAAAUUAUUUUUAAGUGAUUCUUUAGAUUUUAAAGAAAUGUUUAAUAAUUUAUCAAAUAUGUACUUUUUUGGCAGGAAUGUGCUUUCAAGCAUUAAAGUCGCUUUUAAUUGAUUUCAAUAUCAGUCCUAAGCGAUAAAAUAAUUUUGGGCCCCCCGAAUUUAAGUUUGAAUUAUUGGUGGAUCUUUCAUGUUGGCGGUAACAAAAAUGAAGUGUAUGGUUGGGCGGUGAAUAUUUAGAAGCAAAAAUAAACUAAACCAAGCGUGUGUUCUGACUCCUGAGUAGAGCGGGUGUCCUCAUACAUGUGGUCGACCUUACAACGAAAAUGUGGGGUUGAUGUGAUUAAUAUCUAUUAAUUAAUUAUAUUUAAUAAAAUAUUUAGAUAAGUCUUAUCAAUUGCUUAAUACCACGUAAUCCAAUUAUUAUUAUGUUAAAAUUAAAAAAGAAUAAAAGUGAUAAAUUAGUAUCCGUUUGCAUCCAUUUUUUAAAGAUUUAUAUUGAAAAUGUAAUGAUUUUUAAAAUUUGAUUAAAAAAUUAAGAAAUAAAUUUUUUUUAUUAUUUCAAAAUUUAAAAUUUGAAAGUGAUUUUCAAGAAUAUAAGAUAAAUCUAUUUUUUUUUAAAAAAAAAUUGAUUUUUAAUAUGGAAGUAUCUAUUUUUAAAAAUAAAGAUGCAUCUAAAAAUGAAAUAAAAUAAUUUAUAUGUACCUAGUCGUAAUGAGUUCCUAUGUACCUUGUUCUAUAGAUAAGUCUAGCCUCUCAGUGCUAUGGAUCACUCAUUCAUUCUAUGGACUGCAUUUAUGUGCACCUUGAUGUAUAUAGAUAAGUCAAGUCUCUGGGUGUUAUGGAUGGCUCAUUCUAUAGAUAAGUCUAGCCUCUAGGUGCUAUGGAUCACUCAUUCUAUGGAUUGCAUUUAUGUGCACCUCGUUGUAUCUAGAUAAGUCUAGUCUCUGGGUGUUAUGGAUGGCUCAUUCUAUAGAUAAGUCUAGCCUUUAAUGGUUAUGGACCACUCAUUAUGCAUGCAUGUAUGGAUCACUAGUUUUACCUACAUGCAUGCAUUUGUUUGGUCGGAACUAAAACCAAUCAAUCAAUUUCCUCUUUUAAGUUUAACUAAAGUGGCUGUAUUGCUUUGGUUUAUAAAAUAGUCGGAAUUGGAUCAAUCAAACAAUGGGCAUCCCUGGGAAACAUUAUGUUUAUAAACAUGUAAAAUUUUGUUUGAUUACGGUUCUAUCUCUAUAUUUGUAGAUACUUUUAUUAAAAUUUUAGUAUACAUUCUAAAUAAUAUAUAAAUAUAAAAAUUAUUGGUUGAUGUUAAAGGUAGGGGAUACUAAUCCUUUUUACUUGUAUGGUGGACAAAAAUUUGAGUGUCGUUUCAUAUCUUUUAAGUCUAUAUAUAUUUGCCUUUGUUUUAGUUGUGAAGUGUUCAUAUGGAUCUUUUCACACUAAGGCCUGCAAUUAAGAGUAUAAUUAUAUAUUUGACAUGGUUGCAUCUUCCCCAUAGAGGGUGCCAAAGUCAUGUGUCUUUUCUUUUUCUUUUCUCUUCUACAUAUGGUCAUGUCUUUAAUGCCAAGCAAUAGUCUCAAUGUAGUAGCUAGAUCAAAUCUAUGUUUCUCUAUGUUCACGUUCCACCCUUGUUUGCUGCCUAGUAGUUUAUUGAACCGACAAAUUUUGGUUGGAGACUUUAUAGUUGGAGUCAAGAUACCAUAAGGUAUAGCACAAUAACAAUUUAGAAAAAAACUUGUAAAUUUGAGGGGAGUGUUAAAUUGUUUUUUUCAUACAAACAUCUUCAAUUCAAAAUAUCAUUUGUUAACCAUGUAAAAUUAUUUUAUAAUUUAUCCUCUAAUGUAUCAAAUAAUUUUUGAAUUAUUUUACAAUUUACAGUCUCAUAUAUGAAUAGAAUUCAAUUCUUCCUGACAUAUAGUUUUCAUUUGACAAGCUCUAUUUGCAAAUUAUUACUAUUCCAUUAAUAUCAUCAAAUAUACAUACUAUUAUUCUUUUACCCUAUCUCCUCAUCUUGUGAGUAAAAAUUUUAAAUAUAACUGAAUUGUUAAAACUCUAAAUAGUUUAAAUUUAAUAUGUUAGUAUCACUAUCAAGUCUGAAGAUAUCAUAAGCAAUAUUGAAUAUAAAUUUCACAAUUUGUCUAUUUCAUGGUUGAUGACUCUAGCUUGUAGAGUCUAAGCAAAAACACAUCAAACAAAAUUUGAACUCCAUGCAAGGUAUGGAUUCUAACUUUUAUAAUUCUUGGGGUUUAUACUUAUUUAGGGUUUGGGAUUGAUUUUGACAAAAAUAUUUUUAACCUGAGUACUAGCAGUUUUGUUGCUAGUACUCAGCUCUUAAUCUCAAAUUUGAUGGUCCUCAUAUGAUGAGUCUUGUAGAACCUUAAAUUUAUGCUUUAAUUUGAUGCCCUUUUCAUGCCUCAAGCCCGAUUGCUUCAAGCCCAACCAAAUAUAAGCAAUGAUAAAUCCACAAAUAGAGAUUUGCACCAUGAUCCAAGUGGAGAUUCAUAAUGUGACUCAAAUAGUAACCAUCCACAAUUAUGAAGGAAUUUCAACAACUAUGAAUAGUGUAGGAACACUACAACAAAUAAGGGGUUUUUCCAUAAAUUAAUUUAUGGUUAAAAGAGAAUUUUUUUGUAAUAGAAUAUUUUUUUCUAUAAAAAAUUAUUGUUGCAAGUUUGUUGCUAUAAAUCUAUGAGCAAUUAUUUUUAACCAUAAAACUUAAUUUUAUAGCAAUAAUAAAUAAUUUUUCUACAACAAAAUUUGUGGCAACAUAUCACUUUUCACCACAAAAGAAAAUUUGUAGCAACAUGUCAUUUUUUGCCAUAAAACAAGUUUAUAGCAACAUAUCAUUUUUUUAAUGAAAAUAAUCAUGGUAAAAGGUCAAUUUUUUGCUAUAUAUAAAAAAAAAUCAUAGUGAAAAAUUACCCUUUUACCACAAAAUAAAAUUGAUGGUGAAAUAUGUUUUACUGCAAAAAAUUAUUCUUAUGCAUCUCACAUGUUUCAUCUUUAAUUCAUUUCCCUUGCUUCAAUUUUAAAUAUCUUUUCUAAUAAAUUCAAUAUUAACAUUUCAAAUGAAAUGGUUGAUAGAAAACAUUUUCUUGCUCAAUAAUAACUUUCUGAACAAUAGAAACUCUGUAUAGACAAACUAUGGGUAUUUGUUUUCAUUUGAGAACUUUGUCUAUAACCAUAAGAGAGCAGCUACUUCCAAUGUAAACUUUGUCAAAAUCAUUUGAGACCUUUGUAUCUUGAAUUGGACCAUCAACAUGACCUUCUCCUCGCCCCCACUUUCCUCUAGCAAUGUUGUAACCCCUGCAUAAAUAAAAUCCUUGGGUUCAAUACCAAUUUGAUGACUUAGUCCAUCUAUGACACAAAUAGACUGUGCCAUAUAUAUAUAGAGAGAGACAAGGCAUGUGAAAAAAAAAAGAAGGUAAAUAAUGUUAUGAAAGUCAAGGUUAUUAGAUUUCUAAUUGACGAAAAGAGGUGAUAUCUUAAUUAAAAAUUAGUAUCAUGGAUGAUUGAUUGAGAAGAUAGUUGUGUUCAUUAAUUGAGGGAAUGUCUUACACACCUAAAGUUUACUUGCAUCAGUACUGAUUUUCCUGAUAGCCAUAUUCAUAGUGUCUAUAAUGUAAAUAUUUCUUUUCUCAUCCACUGUAAGCCCUUCUGGAUGGUUCAUCCUUGCUUCUCUUAGUUUCCCAUCUACAUGCCUAGAUUACCCUUCAGGCAAGCCAACAACCAGCUUGGGUCUACCAUCUGCAGUUCAUCAAUCAACUUUAAUAUGCAAAAUAGGUAGAACUGUACCAAAACAACUAAGAAACUAAGGAUGUAGAACCAUAAUCAAUAACAUAUAAUCUGACUUGACCUUUUUUGCCUGAACCAUAUAAAACAUAAGCCCAGCUACCAUGGAACUUGAACUGGGUGUUAAGGCAAACUUAUUAAAACCAAGUAAAGACUACAACUUUCUAGAAAGAUGGAACUUGGGUAAUUAAUAAUAGAACUCAACUAGACACACUCAAUUAAUAACAAUUCCUAACCAUUAUAUUAAAAGUAGCUUACAUCGAGUGAGUGGGGAUGAGAUCUUGUAAAUAUUACUGUUUUCAAAGUCCAAAACUAAAAGCUCUCCACUUGGGGAUAUCUCUAGAAAGUAUGGUUCGACUCCGAGCUUACUACCAUCAAACAUGGUUUCCAUGGUAUAUCCAGGCUCAAAAUUCAUCGAGGAACAGCUAGAAAUUUUUGAAAAAUCAAAUCCCAUCAAACCCAUUAACCACAAAAUUGCAAAGAGCAAUGUCCAGCCUAUAGGUAUAAAUAACCACAAGAAGAAAAGGGACAAAGCUAAAUGUGAGAUCACUAAAGGAUAUGUACCUAUAUUGGUGGUAGACUUCAAUGACCAUAGCCACUUCACAAGAGCAGAGGCCACAUUGGACACAAUUCCACUAACAAUUUCUGCCAAAAAAAGAAUAUGAAAAUGAAGGCAGAGUUGAAGAAUAAUGUACAAAUGAAUUCAGAUUUAACUUAUUUUAAAAUGGAUUCUCUAAUGGCCUUUUUUUCUCUCUUCCCAAAAAUCAACCAUUAAUCCAAGUAAUCAAACUCACCAUUCCACCAAAGCAAUUGGAGAAACACCUCGCUACCAAUAGGAGAAAGUUCUUCUAUUGGUAGGGCUUACGCAUCAAACAGCGAAGACUAACCAGGGAUAAAACAUUAUAUAUAUAUAUAUAUAUAUAUAUGUAUAUAUACAUAUUUCAUUAAGAAACCUGAGAAGGGGGUUAUGAAAGAGGCUCAAAUUACCUUAUAGAGUUCAUCUGACAGAAGUCCCACACGGUGAGCAAAUGGAACUCUUGAAUUCAAAUCAUUAAUCUCAUAUAUCACUGGAUUUACCAGUGUAUAUCCCUAGGUUUAAUUGAAAAAAAUAAAUAAAGUCACCCAUGAUAUAUAAAACUUGAGACCAUAAGCCAUCAAUAAUCAAUAGGAAAAAGAAAAAGAAAUGUUAAUGACUCAAUUAAUCAUACCAUGAAUACACUGACCACAGAAAAUAUCCCCUUACUUCCUACAAUGACGUUGAGAUGAAAGGAAUCCCAUAAGGAUAUUAAAUUAAAAGAGAGACAAGCGGCUUAACUUAGGCAAAGCCUAUAGCUAAAAGUCAGAAAAUAAUAAUUAAUAAAAAGAAAAAAAACUUGUCCAAAAUUUAUGAGAAAAUACAAUCAGUACUGGCUUCAUUGAGGACUUAAUAUCUAACAAUAGAAAUCUAAAAAACUAGGGUUAACACACUCAAUAGUCAAUUCUUUCAAAGUUGAAUAUUCAUUCAAAAACAAAAAAACAAACUUGACAUUUAUUUGAAAUAUUUGGGCAAAAUGUCAAAGGCAAGUAUAUAAUGAGAAGCUGAAACACAAAUAGUUGCAUCAAUUUCAAGUCUAAUUUGUCAUUCAGACCAAUGAAAGCAAGCUCAAUGGAGUAACUCCAUGCUCAUAAUUAUGACAAAAUCGUUCAAUAAUCUAAACCAAUUAUAAUAAAAACAUAAUUAAUUGCAAAACUAAUUAUAAUAAAAUAAUAAUUAGUUAUAAAAUUUCAAUCCUUUCAACAAUUAAAAAAGUGAUUCUUAUUUAGGUUCAACUCUCAAGUUGGAGUUCAUCUUUUCGAGAAAAUUUAAUGAAACAAAACUAGUUCUUUGAUUGAGAAAAAUUCAAAACUCAAAUACCAAAAUGCACAAAAUUUCAAAUCAAACCAUGUAAUUGGUUAAUGAGAAAAUGUAGGAAAUGAAAAAGGAACCCUCUUCUCAUCUGAGACUAACCACCUCACUUUCACUUUUCUUUUCUUUUGCUCGAUUUUCUUAGAAACCAAACAAACGGUAAAAGAAAAUACCUUCACAUGGUGGCAGGGUUUGUUGCUGUGAUCGAAGAGCGAAAUCAUUGGAUUCAUUGCCAUAGUAAAAGGGCUACGAGGAGAGCACCGACAACCCAACUCCAUCAACAUCUGUGACUCUUCUCUCUCUGAUUUCACCACCGCCAUGUGUGUAGAAGCGCUAGGUUUCUUGGGAAAACACCUAUGUUUGGUUGCAGAGAAAAAAUUCAAGGAAUAAAAGUAGAUUUGAGUUUACAAUGUUUAACAUUAAAUGAUAUAUGUGUAUAUAUAUUAAAAAAAAUGCUUGAUUAAAUCCAAAAAAUAAUUAUUGAUUUUUCUAAAAUCACAUGACAUGUGAAAAAUAUAUUUGCCACCUGAGAUGCUUAAGACCAUUUUUUCUAAUUAAUUUGUGUGAAAUUAAUAUUAAAGUAACUUAAAUUAGGCUUAAUUUUAAUAUGGUAUAAUUCAAGACAAAAUUUAUGUCAAAAUCUUAUGGAAAAUCAUUUGUCAUGGAUAUAUGAUGUGGUUAAAUAUACUAUUUUUUCAUAAGUACAAAUUUCAUCUUUAAAAAAAUCUUUUUUAUCAUAAAAAAAAUUAAAAAAAAUCAUAUUUUUUCCAUAAAAAUUUAUCUAUGCAUAAAAUUAUGGUAGCAAAAUGUAAAAUUUGUUGUAGUGUAAAUAUCAUACCAUCCAACUAUAUAAACCUAAAAUAUAACCAAAUAGAUUGAGAUAGAGUGAUACAUACUGCAUUAGCAUGGUUAGAAAUUCAGUCACGAUAACAUUCCCAAGAACCAAAAAUGGCGCAAUCAUAAUGUUGAACCAACUCCUAAUUCCACAAUCUCAACCUCAACAUUACCUAAAAAAACGUAAAUAAAUCAUUAUGGACGUUUAAAAAAGUUAAAUAAACAUAUUAAAAUUACUAGUGACUGCAAAUGGUAUAUAUCAUAUAUCAUAUAUUGUAUUUGAUCGAAUUAGAAAAUAAGAAUUUAAGUUUAAUAGUCUAUAAUUAACAAAAUAAUCAAUUCAACAUGAUAAUAACUUAACUGAAUAAGAAUUAUCUCAAAAGAAUUAGUAUUAGCAAUAGAGUUUGGCCAAUCCAAGUCCACAAUUAUCUUGGCCUCCUUACUACAUGACAUCGGGAAUUAACAUCAUACUAUUAAGCAAUCAAUAUAUCUUAGGAUUGGAAGAUAGGACAACAUUUGGCAUAUGGAAAUCAUACAUCUUGCCAUUUAGAAGGUCAGAUGGCAUCCUCAAAUCAGGGAAAUUCACUUGUCUCAGCAUCAAAAGAUCACAAAGCAUCUAACAUUUGAAAGGUGACAAAAGAUCCUAGCAAUAGGUGACCGAUCCUCACCUAGUUUUUCACUCUAUACACAAAUUGCAGAACCCAAUUACUAGUUAAUGGUUUUGUGGUUUCAAGAGAGGUUUUCGAAACUACUUUGUUUUUUUUUUCAAAAUAGAAUAAAAGAACAUUUGAUAAUAUCAUUUCCUUUUAUUAUAGGAUAAUAUUUCAAAAAAUAGUCACAAGCUUUCAUUUUAAUGGUUGCUAAUUGGUAUAACUACAUGUCAAGUAUAAAUUGCACUUGAGGAAUCUAAUAAAAGUCUUGCAUCAUGAAAAUACUUGUAUCACAAUAACUUAAUAUAAUACUAAAAAAAAAUGAUACAACACCCUAGCUUGAUUGCACAUAAAAUAAGUUGCAAGAGCAAUAGCACUAUCUAUUGGCUGGCAAGGAGCAUGGCAACUUAAUAGGGGAUCGAUAUAUCAUUUAAAUAUAGAAAAACAAACAGAAAAUCGAGGAUAGGUAUGAAAAAUCUGAAGACACUGAAAGGUAAAAUUCUUUCAUAUUUGAUGGUCUCUCUAAUAGUCGCACUGUAAUCAUUCAUAGCAAGUAAAGAAAAUAUUAAAUCAUCCUUUGUAACUAAGAUUGGGGAAUCAAUACAUACCAUGUGUCUUUUUAAACAAAUUAUGGAUUGUGGUAUUUAGAUCAUUAUGCCAGUGCCACUCAUCAUCUGCCACUUCUACUCUUUCUAGCUUUGGUGUAGUUACGAGGCUUGGAGAGAAAAUUUUCAUCUUGGGGCAUUCUUCCACCACCAUAUGCUCCAAGGAUGGGAAUGAGAAUAUAUAGCCCCCUGAAUUGAAGCUUGUGAGGUUUGGCAAACAUAGAAGUACCAUGUGUUGUAAUUUGUAGAAAGCAAUCUCAUCGACUGCUUCCCCUCCUUCAUUGGCAACUACUUCUUCCAUCAUAUGCAAUCCACCUAUUUUGAGCUUUCUGAGUUUUACCAGACUUUUAGCUACCGAGGGUGAUAUCAAACUUCUCAGAUUGCUACAAGACCACACAUCUAGAGUAUCCAGAUUUUGGAAAGAUACUGAGCAUGGCACCAAACUUAUCAAACUGUCACAAUUCCACACUUCAAGACUCUCUAGACUUUGCAAAUCAAGGAUUGAUUUGGAGUUUUCCUUCCACAAAUGCGUCAACGCAGGAAGAUCACGCAACCAUAUUUCUCUUAACCGUCCAAGCCUCUGGGCUUGAUUUUCCUCGUCAAGUCCUUCAAGUUGGAAUAUCUCUUUGACUGAACUACAUCUUCUCACAUUUAGUUUUUCCAGAUUAUGUGAUCUUUGAAGCAUAAAGGAAGGAAUCACAACCAAAAUAUCUAUAUAUCCAUAUACUUUCAGAUAUCUUAGUCUAGGAAAGGAAUCCAUUGGAAAUUGCUCUUGCCAUAUUUCGGUAUUCCCGUUGUCAUUCAAUAUUAAUUCCUCCAAGUAAGGCAAUGCAACCUGGGAAAUGGUUCGAAUAAAACGAAUUUGUUCUGUCAGUUAUAACUAGCAUAUAAAUAAGAUAUGCAUAUCUACAAAGAAGUAAUGCUGUUUUAUUUCUCUAAUCCAAGCAAUGAACAUGGAAAAAUUAAUAUAAUAAUAUUUUAUGCUGUUUAUAGAAGAUGCACUGGACAGCAACCUCUCAAUGCCUAAUUAGGAUCAUUUGGCAUUUGAGAAGUUGGCUGGUUAUAUUGAUAGUUUUACAAAUUAAAUAAUUUUUGGACACCAAUAAAAUUUACUAUAAAUUGCAAUAUUGGUUUGUAUCAGAAUCGAUAAAAUGGGCAUUUCUUGUUAACGAAAAAACAGAGUUUACAACUUAAAUAACCCUCUCUCUAUCUAACUACUUCUAACAACAUGUGACAAACAGGUAACAGUGUGUAACAAAUUUCAUGACCAGAUUAGGUCAAAUUUUGACUUAAAAAGGUUCAACUGUGAAUCUAGGAAUUAGGUCAAAUUCUGGAUCAAGUGGGGGCCAACAACCGUGUUUCCAGCAUAUAGUUUUGGUCUCUGCAUCAGAUAAAUUCAAAUUCAAUCGCUAGGUUCUGUGAAGGGAUAUCUAGAAAAAUUAAUGAGCUAAAAUAAUAUCUGAUUGGACAGAUUUUAUAAACAUAUCUGGAGGUUUACAAAGUUGAAAUAAUUACGAGUGCAUUGUCCAUAAAGGCAAGGGGGGAAUCCAAUGCAUUGUCCGCUGAGCAAACUAAUUACGAGUGCCACAAUAACAUGAGAAUUUAAUGUACGAUUUAUCAAAACUUGGCAAUUAUGAAACUUGAUGAGGUGAACCAAAUCCAUAAAGGUUUAGGACCUUACCUGUUGGAGCAAGAAAAGGGGCUGGAGACUCGGCAUAUCAAAACUUCCCUCGUGAUGUCUUCGUUGGAAUGUUGGAGUUUCGGAUGCAAAUACAUUGACUUUAUCACACGCACGCACUAUCAGUUCUUUCAACAAUGGCCACUGUGAAGUAUGUGCCCCUGGGUAGAAACUCCUGAGUUGAUGUAGAUUGACGAGAAUGAGAGAGGUUACUUUAGGGAAUACAAACUUAGCUGCUGUCUCGGCUUCAUUGUCCUUUGCAACAAUUUCCUCUAUCCCACAAGAACGCAACUCCAGUUUCUCAAGUUGCACAAGAUCUUUGACUAAAGAUGCUGGAAAAAGGUUUUUCAGACUCUGACAUUUAUCAAUAAAUAUUGAUUUUAAGUUUUGAAAAUUGAGAAUUCCAUGGGGAUCCUUAUUCCAUAUCUUUUCAACUUUUGGCAGCAAUCGUAGAAUCAAUUGACUCAACUGGGUGACAGUUACACCUUCCUUCACAUUUACAUUCACAUUUGUCCCUUCCACAUCAAAAACCUCUUCUAAUAAACUACAAUCCACUACUUCCAUAAGCCGUAGACUCUGUGACCUUUUCAGCACACAAGAUGGAAAAAUAUUCAACAAUUCUCCACAUGAUGCUACCUUCACCACUUCUAGUUUGGAGAAGGAAUCUUGAGGAAUUUGGUUGUGCCAUAUUUUUUUCACAUUAUCCAGUCCCGAGAUGAUUAAGAACUUCAAGCUAGGAAAUGCAACCUGCAGAGUUCAUCCCACCAUUUUGUUAUUUAUAUAUUUUAAAGAACUAAAAAAAGAAAAUUAUCCAUGUCUAGAACCAGCUAGAAUUAGGGACCUCAAAAGAAAAACACAAUAAACUGCAUCUUAAAGAAGGGUGGAGGAAAAUGUACAUGCUUAAACAAGUUGAAUUUCAUCGUUUAAAACUGUAAGAAUUUGUAAGGAAAAAAUCAGUCAAGAAAUAGCAGAGUUCUCGUGGAAUUCAUUUUAAUACAACUAUUAUACAUUUGAAAUGUUCCAAAAGACUCGUUUGUUUGGUUUUUUUUUUCUCCAAUUUUUUAUUUAAUUGUUAAAACAAAUUACUUUAAGCCUUAAAUAUUUUGAUUGAUUCUUAUCUAAUUGUCUUAAAAAAAAUUAAACCACCACCGUGUAAUUUGGAUGAGAAUGAAUUCAUUAUAAAUUACAAAAAAUUAUCAUAAAAAAAAUAUGACUUAAAUAAUUUUUAUUUGUCUAUAAAAAAUUCCUUUAUCUACAUAAUAAAUUAAUAAAAAAUAAAUCCAUGAAAUUCUAAAUCAAACUAAAAUUCUAUACAUUUAUCACACAACAAAAUAAAAAUAAACUACCACUAAUUCUAAUAUAAAUUUUUUAAUUAAAAAAACCCAAAACGUUAUUCACAUUCAUCUAAAUAUUCAUUAGAGUAAAUAAUUCAAUGAGUUUUGUAAUUCAAAAAAUAGAAUUUGAUAUUCUUUCCCAAAUUAAAAAUAUAAAAGUUAAUGAAUUGAUUUCAAUAAUCAAACAUAUACUUCAAUUAUAAACCCAUUAUCCAAAGAUAUGUACACUAUAUAGAAGUGUUAACUUAGAAAAUUUUCUAACAGUUUUUUACUAAUCAAGUAUAAUUAGAAAUCAUUUUUAUUAUUCCAAUACAAAUGUUCAUAAUAAUCAUAUAAUUAAUUAUUAUAAAACUUUUAUAAUAUUAAUAAUUCAAAUAUUUUAGGAUAUUUGAAUAUAAUUUUUUCAAAUUAGAGUUAGAAGAAAUAUCAUAAUUAAUUUCAUAAAUAUUUUAAGAUAUACGAACUACAUUCUACGUCCAACAUUCAAACCUGUAUAAAAACAAAUAAAUUAAACAUUUAAUUAUAUUAAACUCUAUUAUUAAUAGUUAAGUUAAAUUUAGGUGGAAAAAAAAAAGAGAGAGAAACAAGAACCAGCUCAAUCUAAAUUUUCUUUAUUUUCCUCCAAUAAUUUGAUUGAUAACAAUGUUAAAAGGAAAAUUAAAAUCAUAAGAAUUAAAAAGAGAAGGAUUCUGAGAGAUAAACUGACCCUUUCAUCAAAGAGCACCGGGAAGGGGGUAUCAAGGUCUGCAUGGUGAAGCCUUUGGAGGGAAUGAUAUCCAGGGGAGACGAAGCUUGUGAGGUUGGGCAAAGAUUCCAGUUUAAUAUCGCUUAAUUUAGGGAAUAUGAUAUUGCCUACAGGAGCAGAAGCCAUGGAAGAAGGGAAAUGAUUUCUGGAGCUGCCACAGUUGCAUAUAUGCCUCAACUUUGGUAGACCAGACAACCUCAGUUCUUUUAAUUUAGGGAGGAGCUCAACAUGCCCAUCAUCAACAUUUAGCUCUUCAAGAUCAAAUACGUGUUCCAGCUGACCACAGUUUUCCACUAUUAGUUCUUCCAAAUUCUGUAACAAACUGGGUGGGAAUAGCUUCAAUAGUGACAUGCAAUUCUUCAACUUGAGAGACCGGAGGUUGCCGCCCAAGGAAAGCAGAAGUUGGCCAUCCCUAAUCUCCUGUAACAUGAGAACCUCUGAGAGCGUUGAAUACAACAUAGAUGUAUUACAGAUAUUAACAUAGAGUGAAAAUAAAAGCAUGAUGAUAAUAUGUUUGUCAAAUUAAAAAAUCAGUCUAUUAAUUGUGUUCAGUCAAUGCUCUGUUUUGACUGGUGACGUUUUAUCUUUGCUGGUAAAGUCUCAUCAGAUGGGUUUUGGGAUCGAUUUAAAUGAGGGGAUUCUUGCUGACUCAAAUCAAUUAAUGAGGAGCUAGUCUCCAAGUAUUUGAAUUGAAGUGAUUAAAAAAGCAUUGACUAGAUAGAAAGGAUUAUCAAGGUUUGACAUACCGGUUGGUUGAGAGGUGGUGUACUAGGACCAACAAUUGUGCUUGCAGGCUUGGAAAGCACUGGGUUCUCCUCAAAGCAGAAAUUACUGAGCUUGGGUAAGUCCUCUAAUGUCAAGUAUCUCAAUUCAGGGAAUAGAGGCACAUUAACAGCAUCUUCUUUUAUUUCUUUCCUUCCUUGGGAAACCAUCUCAACCAUACUCUUGCAUCUGGUUACUUUUGUUUCUUCAAGUCGGGAAAGGCCUCUAGCCACAGACAACGAGAAGAGAAAUUUCAAGCCAUCACAAUCUUCCACUUCCACUUUUCUCAAGCAACCUAAGGACCCUGCUGGAAAUUGGCCAUGGCAUACUUCUUGCAAGUUAAUCAGCUGAUUGAGAGACAAGGUCUCCAUAACAGGAAAGGCACCAUGUGAUGAAGUCAGAUCCAUCGAGUUCACAAUAUAUUGAAUCUCUGGACUGCUUUCAACAUUAAGAUGCUUUAAUUUAAGAAAACCCUCCCUAUUUAAUUUGGAAAGAACAUUAGUACCACCACACAAUUCACGCAAGUGUAGAUCUUCAGUUCUCUUCAACAACUUGCUGAUACCAUCCACCAGAUGAAGGCUUGUGUCGAACUUGUUGAGCUUCAAUGUACUAUUGGCUUCAAAAAUUUCUUCCCAGCUCCAGACAUCACCUACUAAUAUUCUAUAUCUCACCAAGUUUUCAAAGACUAUGUCUUUUGGCAGCAACUUGGCAUCUGGUAUUUGUAUGUCCAAAAAGGUUAAGUGAGACAAAUGUUUCAACUCAGCAAGGCAAGCAUUACUCUUUCCUUCCCCCUCCCAUUGAGUAAAGCUAUUUUCCAUACACAAAUCCUCUAAUCGGAACAAGCUUGAUAUGACACCUGACGGAAUUACUUUUAUCGUGGAAGAAUCGCUCAAAUCUAACAGCCUUAGAUGAGUCAACUGUGCUAUUUCUCUGGGCAACUGUUCCAUAUCAGAACUCAUAAGGCUAAGAAUUUCUAAUUUCUUUAGCUCUGCAAUUAUAACAAUGUCUCCCAACUUGCAUCCAUCCAAACACAAUGUUCGAAGAUUUGCAAGGCACUGAAUUGAUAAGGGCAGCGAUGGAAGUUGCAUUCUAGAAAAAUCUAAUACUUUGAGUUGUUUCAUCCCUUCAAAAAAUGUGUUUGGGAUUUUCACUGCCGAGUGGGUCUUUAGAAAACAUUCAAAAAAUUCAAGUUUUGGACAUACCAACCCUUCUGGAAGUUCAUGAAUAUCACAGUCAUGCAGUUUUACCCAGGUGACCUGGAGUUCAUCUAUCCUUGACCAUUCUUCCACUCUUACGGUAGUCUUCUGGUGUGUAAACACAUGACGUUGCUCGGAUGCAAUUUUUCUGGCAGUACUCCGAACAAGAUCAUGCAUUCUAACAUAUGCAUUAUGGUCAGUUUCUAGUAAAAAAUUUGAGGAUUUGAGGUUGUCAACCAAUGUAUCUAUUCUAUUUUUCGCCUCUUCCAAUGUAUUAGUUCCUUGAAAUAAUCGCAGACCCACACCAUAUUUCAACAAGUCCCCAAUAUGGAUAUCACUAGAAAAUAGGCCACAAAGCAAGCACAAUGACUUCACUUCAUCUCCCUCCAAGUGUUCGUAGCUCAACUUCAGACUUGAGUAUACCUUUGUCUCCAUUC
rnacentral:lncRNA from 1 species